UUACUCUUUCACUCCUCUACUAUACUCACUCUUUCACUCCUCCGAUGAGAGCUUUAAGGUAUAGACUGCUAUCUCUUGCCGGUUUAGCCUACCAGGGUCCAUUUCGGUACAUAAGAUCAAUGUGCCAUCUUUAUAACUACGUUCAUCUCUUGUAUGAUUAGUAUGAAGGGCCAAGAAGGAUACAGUUGUCUCAGAGCGACAGUCAAGCUCGUAUCGCUCCCACCACUAUAACAUUGCACUUUCUUUGAUUGAUAGGUCAGUGAUAGGUCAGAUAGGAAGUAGGCAAGCAAACAACGAACGAACUCCGUAAGCGCUCCAUUACUUGUGGAAGUUAGAUAACUCGGAAAGGUUGUCCUGUCACUUAUUUCAUCUAAUAAGAUGCUUUAGUUUGUUAGCUUGACUUAGAUAAGGAAAGAGAAGAUGCUUAAGUGUGGUUUAGGCUUUUUCUUUCUUCUUUGAUGCUGUAGUUAGCUGGGCAUUUCAAGCGAUUAAUCAGGCUUUGCCCUUUCCUACCCAACCUAUACUUAUAGUUCUUAUCACGUAUCUGCUCUUUCCACUUAUUCUUCUCGAGUUCCCACUCUUACUCUUGAUCCAGCUUAUAAUCUAUCUUCGGCUUCUAUUGAGGAUGAAACUAGGGAUUCACCAACAACAAGAGCAGAGGUCGACAAAUUGCAUUUCAUAAUGGAUAUGGAAUUCCCCUUUCUAUACAAUACACAGCACCCCUUCCCUAACAUGAAAAUCUCAGAAUGAACUUCUACUGGCAACAACGACCUUUCCGUUAGCGGGUUACACCUCUUCUCUUAUUCCUCUGAUUCUCUAGCUGCUGUUGAUUCUCUUACUGAUCUUCUUAAGUAAAUUCAAACUAUACUGCUGAUUCUGUUUAAAUUGCAUCUUAUAGAGGCGCAAACAAAGAUGGAUUCCACUAGGCUCGGGAUGAAAGAUACUCUACUCAAGCUCGAACCGGCCAAGCCGACAAGCUACUACUAAUAAAGGCUAAACUACUAACGGCGCGGAAAGAGACUCCACCAAACCUGGGCUCCUUAGCGCAACAAAGGACUUGGCGGACGGGACGAAUAAAGGAACUGAGGAAGGACAUUCUCGUAGACAAACGGAUUCCAGGUAAACUCGAUUGCAUGAUACCCAGGUAAACUCGAUUGCAUGAUACCCAGACUUUUGCACAGCAUUUUCUCUCGGAGACAACACAAGCACUGAUUAAUAUCCAGGCUUAUGCUCAUUUUGUGGCAAUAAAAUCCAUUAAUUGAGUCUAUCUUUCAUGUGGUAUAUAAGUGAGUAAAGACACAGCAACAAUAACCUCUCGAGUGUUAGUAAAGACACAGCAACAAUAACCUCUCGAGUCGCCCCGAACUCGCAUUAGCACUUUCUUUUGCUUGCUUCAAAGGCAAACUCACUACCACAAACUUGUUCCCUGGCUCUUUGUUUUAUCUCAUCUAGCUCUACCCCCCUUACUAGUUCACUUUUCAUCACAUCUAGCUAUCCUUACUUGUUUACUAGUUUCAUCACAUAUAUAAUGACUUGCAACACCGAGAUCAUAUAUAAGCGAGAUUACUUAACCGAGAUCAUAUACAUAUAUAAGUGUAUAUAUAAUAUGACUACAGUUUCUAUACAAACCGAAAUCAACGAGAACGAUUGGCGCAUCCCGAACUCGACUUGAACCCCUGUAGCUGCCGUGGACUGACUCAAGCCAAGUGAAGAGCCGAGUCAAAUAAAGAAUGAGAAUCUCCUCUCUCGUAGUAGCUUGUUCCAGAUGGAGAGCGCAGAGUCCAACUUUCAAUGAAGAUUUAUUGCCCUAGGUUAUAUUGAAGUCAUCUGUUGAUUACUUUGCCUUCUCCUGUGUAUGGUCCUGAACCUUUUCUACCCCCUUCUUGCUUGACUUAACUUACUACUACUAGGGGCUUAACUCACCGGAUUCUUUCCUUAACCUACCACUAAACUACUUAGCUCAGGGCUUGAAACCCAACAAGCACCGAUCAGUAGGCUAUCCGAACUCCCUUAACAGACGAAAAGUAUACCUUUCUAUUUGCUAAGUUGAACCUAUAGGAAGCAACUCGAAUGGCUAAUCGAUCUAAAGCCGUAGAAAAGAUGCUGUUCAAGAAUCCACUGGAGAGAGAUUGGAACCUUAUAAACACACCUAUUACUGCCUCUACCUGCUGACUUUAUACUGAACCUCACUGAUAUCUACUCUACCACAGGAACUCUAAACUCUACCACAAGAAUGCCACUCCUAUCUGCGGAUUCUUCUUAGACUUAUUGAAUGGAACACUUAUGACGUUACGGAUUUCUUUAAUAAAAGAAUGGAAUUGCACUGACACACAAAUAGAAAUAGUGAAAAAAAGAGCAUUGCUUCGAACCUCACUAAUGAACUUUGGCUUGUUACCUUGCUAAUACUGAAUUGAAUCUAGUCCUUGUACUUUCUCUCAGUCAUUCCUUUCCUUGUACUUUCUCUUAGUCAUUCCCGUCCUUUCCUUGUACUUUAUUAUCUCAGUCAUUCCGAACCUUUCCUUUUGCACCACCUAUAAUGUAAGAAAGUCACAAAACACCUAUUCUGGCUUAUGAAGCACUAAGUCAAUGAGUAGCGUGGAGUUAUUGGCGUUAAAGCCCUUGUAGUGGUCGUGGUCCAGUCAAAGCAUUAAGGGCCGGGGCUCCUGCCGCGGCAGUCCUGACUUUCUCACUGCGGAUUCUUGAGUAACAGCUGAAGAUCCUUAUUCCGACUUGCUAGUUCCAUUCUGACUUUCCUUUAAGAGCACGGCGGUUGGCUAUAAAGAGCACAUACCAUCAUGGUUGGUUACUUCACUUCUUUCUAUUAUACGUAGCUGGGAACUAUAAUGAUUGAGUUUCUUCUGCUACAGUCUCCUCUCUCGCUAAGCAAAGAAAGAUUAUACUCCAACUGAUCGAUCCAGAUCCAGCUCUUUUACAGUCUCCUCUCUCGCUAAGCAAAGAAAGAUUAUACUCCAACUGAUCGAUCCAGAUCCAGCUCUUUAUCCAGCUGAUGAACCUUAUACUGUUCCAUCUUAUUCAGGAACUCAACUUGAUACUUGACCUAGAACAAACAUCAAUAUACAAAAGAGCAGGACCGCUUGCUGCUCUAAUAGCUUCCUUUGGCACUGCAGACAGCUUUCCUGGUACAGUAUCUUUUCUUAUCUACUUUCCUUCUAUUUCUCCGACUCCUUAUUAUAUAGCGAAAGCUUCUUAUAGGGUUGAUUCCCCUACUCCGGAUAUGGCUUAUGCCUCUCUCUUGCUCCUUAUUCUUAUGGAACACAAUACUAGAAUCUCGAACUACACUUUAUGAACGAACCCCAAUCAACUGAACCCGGAAAGUAAGCUAGGCACCCCGAGUUGCUUGUUCAACUCAAACAUCAAUUCCAUUUCUGACUUAUCUCAUCCGCCAUGCUCUAUAACAUGGGAAUGCACCUAGAAACCGCCAUGCUCUAUAACAUGGGAAUGCACCUAGAAACUCUGUUAGCACAGAUCAAUCCUCUUCUUCUGAGACAUAAGCAGAUUCUCCUUCUUGAAACUCUUUCCUUCUGUUUGAACUCUGACUCCCUUAACUGAGACCGGAGUAUGCCUUUUGCUAUCGCGGGGAAACGUAGCUAAUGAGAAAUCACCUUAUUGAAGACCCCGAAGGCUGUUCUAUGGGCAUUAUAGCAAGAAAAGGACUUGUUUGUUUAUAACUCGUACUAACUCCGUACUUGAGCUCCCGAGGUGGUUCACUGGUUACUUUCUUACACUUGUAAGAUAGCUCUAUUCCAUGCUUUUGCACUCUCCUCUUUUCCACAAAACAAGCAAGUACCUGAGUUUGGUUCGAAGCUAUGCUCUUUGGUGAAAAUCUUAUAACACAGGCUUUCAGCACCUUGUAAAACAACCAAGCUGGCAAGCAACGACUACAAAAGCAUAACAAGGAGCCAAGCAACUGGACAAGUAACCACUAAUGGCAAAACUACAACUAAAGAUGUGAGAUCAGUAGCGGAAUACUCAUAGGUGAACUGCAUACUUUAAGGCAGUAGCGAUAGAUUGAGAUAAGGGAUAAGGAGUCUCGUAAAACCCCCUAAUGAAGUAGGGAUUCAAUCACGGAUAAUAAGAACAAACCUUACAAUGAAGAAUGAACUUAAGUAGUCAAAGUUUUCAAGCUAGUAAAGGCAGGCUAACAGUUGGUAGUUAGGGAUUCGAAAAGUCAGUAAAGUAAGCUUUGGUUAGAAGCAACAGCUAAAGCAUGUAGGUAUUUCUUUGAAGAAUUAGAUAAAGCAAUGCGACACUUAAAGGCAGUAGCGGUAGGGUGAAACAAUAGAAUAGGACUUAGGUUCAGUAGCUUUAGUUUGCAUGGAAGCCUACAAGCCCAUAAGCAAGUAAGUAAGGACCUGGAUCAGUAGUUAGAGAAAGCAAGCACAGAGCUAUAGACUGGAAGCAAAGGUAGGCCACGUUAUCUAUCAAUACAUAUCAGUAUGGGUAAACAGAAUCAUUCGAAUAACUGAAAAGAAGAAUCCAUAAGUAUGAGAUGAGGGAAUGAACCCAAUGCCUAUAAUAAUGAACUGUAAUAUAGUAGGUAGAAGAUACCCUGCCUUGCAUCAAAGGAUACCCAGCUAAGAGAACAGAACAACUCAUUAGGUAAAGGGUGCACCGAGGAAUGUAAGACUUCACUAUUCAAUACAGAAUCUCUGGUACGGUUCGGUACUAUUCAAUAUAGAAUCUCUUUUAUGGUUCGGGAACUCAUUAGUACAAGAAUGGAAAUAGGCAUUUAUCAGAAUGGGCAGUAAGCCGGGGUUAGAAUAGCACCAAUCAGUAUCAUAAUUGCAUUGAGUAGCCCCAAAGCCCUACUACUUAGCCCGCAAAGCCUUAUUGCCCCUUUUCUGAGUUUUCAAUUAAGUUCAGUAUUGAGCUAAGGUCUAGUCUAUAGCUCCUUUCUUUUAGUCUUAGGUCUGACGCUAAGGAUACCUGGGAUCGGCCAACUCAUCAUUAUAAGUAAAGACUCUCGCUCUGGGGGUACUACCUUCUUCUUAAUAUCCAAACUUUGAAACAAAAACUGCUACUAUAAAUACUGGAUAUACUGGAACUCGAACCUUCACCUGGGAACCAACCCGAGUAGAGUCACAAAGCUCACCGCCAUGUAUUAAGAGACUUACACUAGGCUAUCACUACCGCUUCUCAUACAUGCCUCUUAUUGUAAGGAAGCCAACUCGAAAGUCAGAUACUCACUCUUAUAUUAGAAUUGGGUUUGUCAUUUCUCUAUUCUAUGAAAAUCAUAGUGGAAUGGACUACUAUCCAAUAAGAAUGCUAUUAUUCCAAAUAAGAAUAGAACUAAGAACUAGGGCUUCACUGCUGACCUACUAGCCUAGCACUCCCUCCUUGUAUUCUGCAGCUACUAGCUCGGGGACUUGCACUGCAUCCUUCCUUUUUUCCGACCUAAACUAUACUUGUAGAAUCGCUUACUUAUUACUUUUGCACAAGAACGUUGCUAGUAGGGUCAAAAGAACGUAGCUAACUCAAGGGUAAGGAACAUAACUCGCGUAAGGAAUGUAACUAGCGUAAGGAACUCGACCUCUCCUUUCUUACAGUUCAUCAUUGAAUCCAUCUCUUGCGCAUUGAGCACUUGGUAUAGAACUACUAAGUCAAGACACACCAUACCGGAAUCAUUGAAUUGAAGACAAGACCGCCAUAAGUAAGUUGUAAUUCCAUUCUGAACUGAGAGUCGAUGUUUAUUGGCUCUAAGUAAGGAGAGGAGUCAGCAUCAGCAGACCGAGCACUGGGUUAGUAACCUUCUUAUGAUUUAUGGCUUAGAGCCCUAGGUUAGGUGAGUUGGUUUAUAGGCCCGGGUAUGACAGAUAGUGGUAACCAAUCAUGUGCUACUAUACUCAAUUCGAACUUGCCCACUAAGAAACACUAUAUUCAGAAUGGAGCACUCCAGGGUUGGUUAAGAUAAGAGCACCUGAGUUGGAUAAGAGCACCUGAGUUGGAUAAGAGCACUAGCACAAGUUAUAACAUGCUAUUGUGGCUGCCGCGUCACAUUAUAGGUAGUAUUUCUUCCAUCUUGUUAUAACCAAACAUCUAGAUAGAAAGGGUCGGACUAUCGCCGGAUACAAAUAAUUAAGACACAAGAGAGUCCGCUACUCAGAUAGUAUAAAAGCUUCCUACUCUGAUAGGAAAGGUGGAAUACUUUCUUCAAAACGGAAUAUAAGGCAAGAUAGGUUGACUAUCUUCUUCUGGUAUCCGAAUCCGGGAAGAAGGCUUUCAAGAAUAGAAAAGCUCCUAAGGCAGGAAAGCAAAAGAAAGGGAUAGAUCUAAGGAGUGAAGUUCUCACCAUAUUGGAUUUCUAUUCAAAUAGAGGAGAUAGCUGUUUCCGUCUAGAAAUUCUCCGUCUAGAAAUAGAUAACAGCUCCCAUGCUUUCAUAGCUUCUGAAUACUAGCAAAGAGGGAGCCUUCUUAUCGAGACUUAUUACUUCACUUAUGACUCAGAGACUUAUUACUUGACUUAUGACUCAUGAGGAUAGCAGGAAGCAAGGAACAUUGUAUUACGGCUUACCCGUUAUCUAAGAGAACGGUUCCACUGGUUAGGCUAGCAUUAUUCACUGCGCUUUAUUGAAAGCUGUGUGCGUCAUUGCUUCUACUGGCCUAUGGGAAUGGACACCUUAUAAUUGGCAGUGCCCGUGUCCCUUAAUCGAUCAGGCUACCCUCGGAUUAUUCCCUCCAGAUAUUAAUGAGGUGGGUGGGAAGGAUAGAGCCCAACAACUUAUAUACAGAUAUUCCUUGUCAUUCGAAUCUUUAUAUAGUUCCAACAGGCAUAGUCUUUGACUCUCCAUAUAGUUAGAGUAUAUUCUUUCCAUCUUACUACUAGGAUAGAGAUUAGAACUCAAAACGACCUAGCAACGCUAGUUGGAUGCUCCGCAUCGUGAACUGCAUCGGCAAAGGGCACCCUAUCUCUUUUUUAUGGGCUGUUUCUUUCGUAUCUUACCUAUCCGAGUGAGCCCUCCCCAGCAAGCAAACAACCUGGUGGAUCAUCUGAUCUUGAAAUAUCUCGGCUAUCCCGAUCUUUUAUCUGUGGAUUUCUUAAGGUAUCUUCAUCAUACGAUUAUAUGGAUUCUGCUUUUCCCAUUCAUUAUAGGACCGGAUGAAACUUCUCUUCUCUUCUUUCUUUCUCAAAUCCAUUUAGUACGUAUAGGAAAAUGAGGUCCUAGUGGCCUUCUAUUCACAUAAUCUCAAAGGGGAGACUCUCCUGAUUGUCGAGCAUUCACCCUCUCCUUCUGUUGCCGGUCAGCCUGCACUAACAAUAUGGGCAUUGGCUAGCUCAGAUAACCCAACUUCCGAGUACGAAUGACAGACAGAUGAAAGUGUUUCUUUUGCCUAUAUCCUUUCGCUCGGACCAAUAGGCUGCCACGAAUGCUGGGAAUAUCAUAAAUGCAGAAAUAGUGUAUCCUUAUAUUCCAAUCUAAUAGAGUAGAACUCAGAAUAGGACUCAAUCUUCCAAUCUAAUAGAGUAGAACUCAGAAUAGGACUCAAUCUUUUGUAACAUCUAACAAAGAAGUUGUACUUCCCAGACUCUUGCAUUCUGGACCUUGUUCGCACUCAGUCAUAACAAAGUGCUUUGGCCGGCUACGUUGACUCGGAUUAUGCAGGUGAUCUUGAUGGGAGUGGAUCCUUCACAGGGUAUGUCUUUACCCUUUAGGUUUUGCGGUUAGUUGGAAAUCUACUUUCUUUAAGUAUCAAGUUUGGAAAUCUACUUUCUUUAAGUAUCAAGUUUUCAUUAUAUACCAAAGAUGCAGAGUCUCUUGAAGUUACUGAGGCAGUUAUAGAAGCGGCUUAUAGGCUUGUGGUAUAGUUCAAUCACACUUGGCUUGGAUAAAAGGGUUGACAAUUAGCUGGAGCUGCAGGUGCUGUAGCGCAACUUAUAGCAAGGCCAAUAGCAAUGCCAAUUUACAGAGCUCAGCAAGCGGGGAGCAAGUCAAGUCUCGAAAAAGAAUACCAUCGCCGGGGCUGCUCAUUUCAGGUCUUUCACUCGCUUGGAAGCAAUCGUGUCCUUCUGCUACCUAAGGAAGAAAUCCAACUUCGAAGAUUCCCCGGACCGGCAGAAAACACUUCGGAAUGCCUGUUAUCUCCUUUGAGCUGAUCUCAUAUUAACACAUGCAGGUCGAUCAGUUCGCCCUUAAGAAAUAGGCUUCUUCGGUUCGAAUCCAAAAGGCCCCCAUCCCUCUUUAUAUAAUAGAAUCUUCUUGUUUAAGUUGAAUUAGACAAUAUGAGCCUACACUAUAAAGCAUUAAGAACAAGUUUCGCCUUUACUAUAAAGCAUUAAGAGGAUUGACUAGUUGAAGUUAACCAGCUGUGUACAAUACAAAGAAAGGAGAAAGGCCAGAGAACCAAUGGCGGAGAUUGUUUGUGCAUCCAUUAGAUGGCUUAUACACUUGAAUAGUGAUUUCAUAUUAUUCUCAUAUCAUUCCUACAAGAGAUAGAGAGACAUGUAUAAGAAUUGUGAAUCAGGCGCUUAGAGCACAACUUUCUGCAUAAGAGGGAAGAAGGGCCAUCUUGCUUGGCUAGCCCCCUUAAUGUGUAAGGCACGAUCAAAAAAGAGGUCUCAAGGGUAGACCAAUAGGCUUUCCAUCCUUAGAUCCAUAUCAUAGAGAAAAUACAAGAGAGAGUGAAACUACCGAAUAAACAACCGAUCCGCAAGCUGAGUUAUAUGGAAUUUCAAGAAGGGCCUGGUUAAUCCUCGGCAAUGUGUUAAUUCGAUUUUAGAGAUUCCUAUUCGCCCGAAAAGCGGCUUCUCAUCGAGAUCUUACAUGCCCAAUCCCAAAUCUUAGCGAUCCAAUCAUAGUGUUGGCGGAGGGGAUUUCAACCAAAUUCAAGAGUGCGAGCUAGUUCACUAGGCUUUCAUCCAGGUAGUAUAGAAUAUCAACCUAAGCCUAUCAGGUAGUAUAGAAUAUCACCCUAAGCCUAUUGUCAGAUGGUUUAAUGCCUUGAUUUAUGUAAUAGUUUAGCUCAAUUAGAGUAGAUCAUCUAAUGAGCCGGACUGACGAAAUAAAUGAGUGGAUAAGCUCCCCAAAAAGAAAUCCUCCAUCAGGUCAUCUGUGUUGAGGAGAGUGGGUAUAUGUAUACACGUACUAGGCCUUGUUCUCUUUAAUGCUCUAAUCUUCUCCUUGCUCUAACGAACGAGCCCUAUCAAAUACUUAAGCAAUUGAAGCUGCUCCUUGCUAUCUUGGAAGCUUUCUAAAGUACCCUCGAUUGGUGCUGUAAGUUCAGACUAGCUAUUGGUAUUCAGCUGGUUAGGGAUCUGCUACUGCACUACCAUUUCUUCAAGAUUAUGCAGGGUCCAUUGGAUUGUCGCAAUCAUGAAUGCGGGUCUCCGUAAUUCAAUAGCUCUCCUGGUCUUGCUCUUUUAGAUCCGUCUACAGUUAUUUCUAUUGAAUACUUUCUCAACUUAUCGGAUAUCCUUAAAUGAGAGAGAGUUCGACGAUUCCUUUCAUAGCUAAAAAAGGCUCUUAGCACCUUGCUGGAAUAGCCGGAGCCUUGGAGGAACGGUAUCAAUCCAUAGUCACUUGCAUGUUCUAAGGGGCGAUUUUCCUUCUCUUCUGCGUGGGUCAAAAAACUCCAUCUCUCUAUGCUGCAAGGUAAGGUGGUGCGGGAGGAUCUGCUACCCCUAGCCUUGUGAUGCUGAAGAACCGAUUCACUCAGACGAGGAUUCCAGAGUUUGAAUGAAAGGCGGCAUAAAGCAGAGCAGCAUUCCACAGCACUUACGGACUCAGUUUCCGGUGCGUAGCGGAAUCCCAAUAAGUCCUUUUCAAAAGGCGUGGCAUAUUACUGUGAAUUCAGAGACUCGUAAAGAGCGCCUCGCCUGUAGUCUUGCUCUUUUCAGUAAGAGCUAGUUUCUUCCAGCUAAACAGGAGGCCUAAACUCUCUCUAGCCGAUUUCACUACGUUCCAAAUUAGUUGAUUCUUAUUUAGAAAGUUCUCGUCUCCAUUAAGAACUAAGAGCAUAGGGUCAUGCAUAGAAAGAAGCUCAGCUCCCUCAAUGUCCUAAAGAAGAGAGCACAGCGGGCUCCACGGCAAUUCCACUUAAUUCCUUCUUAUAUAUGAGCCAGCCAAGGGACUUCCAUACGAGAGGUGUCUUAUUGUUUUUGAACAGUUGCGAAAAUGGCAGCCCGAGUUCCUAUGGAGUACAUGAAGAAAGAAUAACUGCACUUUCUCAUUCUCUCUUUGCGGAGAGUGCAGGAGGAAUCUUCUUUUCUCUUCCAAUUAUGGUAAGAGGAAGGGGAGAUCUGAAUGAGUCACAUCAGGAUGAUGCAGGAGUCAAUAUAGAAGUUGCUGAACAGGAAAUCUUGGAGAGUCUCCUGCUGAUAAAGAAGAAUUCUAAAGAAGGGGCGGACGUCCUAUCUCUUCUCAUAUGUCUCCAAAGAUAGCUAGACAAGCCUGGAGUUUCAGCUCUAAUUACUCAUUUCAGAAGAAUACAAAAAAGCAAGUUAUUUAAUACUUGGGUCUCUAAUAAGGUUGGUUCCUUCCCUUUCACUUAUCUUAGAGUUCCUAUGUUCCUUGGAUCCCCUAAUAGAGCUCAUUUCCAAUACCGGAUUGUUCAUAAAACACUUGCUGGUAGAUUGGUUUGAAUCAAGCAUGUGCUCUCAAGUGUUGUUCUCCACUCUGCUUUCAUUUAAGAUGGAGGUUGUUUUUGACACAAAUCAUAUAAAGUGUGCUUAUGGAGCUAGAGAAGAAAGAGGAACUUUUAGUGAUUCCAAAGAGAAAGUGAACUGCACUUGAUUAGCUGGGAGAAGGAAUUGAAGGCUUUUGACCAAUGCCUACUAGUCACUCUGUUCAGAAAUUCCCUGAUUUUAUACACUCGACUCUUCAUAUCCUGUUUCGUAUCAAUGCAUGGUUCUACUUUUCUCUGGGAAGGACAGGGACUCCAGAUAGAUGAGGAGCGUGGGGCUGGUGCCUAAUAUCAACUUCAAAGCACGAUAAGAAGUGUGGAUAGAUAGAGAGAGAAUUCUUAAUGGGCAAAGCAUGAUAAGAAGUGUGGAUAGAGAUAUUAUAACUAAUAGGCGCCCAGUGACCAAGUUGUUAAUUGUUUCUAGCCGGGGGCGCAGUGACCAAGUUUGUUAAUUGUUUCUAGCCUCCCGAAUCAAAGACCUCAUUCUAUACCCUAGAAUCUUUGUACCGGAGUCGAACUCGUCGAUUGAGGAAUAACAGAGAUGCAGGCCUUGCUUGAUCUUUAUGAGUAGUGGUCCAAGUCGUCUAAUUGAAUCAAGGUGUGAAUGAGUUGAGUAUAAUAUAAAAGUUAGAGAAUCAUAGGUUAGGUCUUAAGGGAAAGUUUUGCAAUAUUCAUGUUUUCCUCUGUGCUCGAAAGAUUCCAUAAAAGUGGGACCCGGCGCUCGAAGGAUUGCUUUCAAGCCAACAACUCUAAAGAUGGUGUUGCGGGAACGGAAAGUGGAGUUUCAAGUGAAGGCGACGCGGGAGGUUCUUGUUUGUGAAUUGAAACACGUAUAGAAAAAUGAGUAACCAAACGCCAUUACUUAAGGGUAAGGCGGGAAAUACAGAAUAUAAGGUAUAUUAGCAACAGGGCAGGGCGUGUUGAAGCUAGGUGUCGUGGAGAAUGACCAGUUCCUCUCCGUUCUAGGACCAUAAGCAAGCGGUAGUGUUGACGACGAGCGGUUUUGUUCAUCAAGUGUAGUUUGAGUUUGAAGAGCAGGUGAGGAAGCAGUUCUCAAGUAAGCUGCCAGACGUUCUUAAAGUGGAGUUCCUUCGAGUGAGUCUAGGUUCGGAUGCUUGCUUUACUUGUUAUAGCCUAUGGUUCCCGCUCCUUGCUGUCACUCUGACUAUCCCCUUGCUUUCGUUCUGUAACACCCAUUGAGAUCCUAUAAUAAAGAAAUCAACUCGCGCUUCUAAUACUAUAAGAGUUGCUUGGCCUUUUUGAUAGACAUAAAAGGAAUUAUGAGCUCGACUAGGGGCAUGAAAUGGUGGAUAUCGAACCAACAUAAGUGCUGUUAUAGCUACAUGAAAACGAAUAUCCUUAUAGGUCAAGGAAGAAUAGACUCACUAUUUAGAAUCUCAGAAUUGAACUAACGCUAGCAGGAUUGACUACCUAUCCAUAAGACCGAGCGAGUUGAGUAGGUGCACCAGGUAAUCACAUUCGACACUCGGAACAGGCCCUACGCCGAUAGACUCCAAUCCAUAACCGGGAAUCCAUCCAACUCGAACACCUGAGUCCGAAUUAGGGCAUAGGAAUCGGCAUAAGGAACUACACAGAACUAAACCCAGCAUUAUCAGAAUGGAAUCCCAUCAUAGCAUAGCAGGAAUUUCACUUAGUGACCAAGGUACUGACUUGCCCAAAACUAGUCCACUUCGCCAUUAGACAGGGAUUGAACACCAAUACUACAAAGACAUAGCUCUAAACCCAGACUUAUACUAGAAAUGCCCGGAAGAGACCAAACCUUACUCGCUGCAUUCCGGUUAGGCCGCCCCUAUACUAGCUAGUCUUCUUUAACCGCAUAGCUGUGAUUCUGACUUGACUGCCUACCAGUAUGACUUUAUUAUAUCUCAAUAAAAGAAACUUAAUCAAACAAGGAAAUAGGGCUUAAGAGUUCAUCUCAGAAAAAAGGAUUCACUCCGGCAUACCUAAUUGUAUUAAUGUAUUUGCGGCUGGGCUGGUCAAGGGUUGAUUAAGGAGUAAUUUGUAAUGAAAAUAUGCAGUUGUAUGCAGUGAAGAUAUGCUAUUAUGCUUAAAACAUCAUAGUGAAAGAUAUGCUAUUAUGCUUAAAACAUCAUAUUUUGGGGUAACUAACUAGAUUCGAAAGUGGUUGGAGACUCUUAUCACAUUCUGAAGAAAAGCUAUCUUCUGGAAAGAGAGAACUUUGGCCCUAAUUAAUAUAGGAUCUCUCUCUCUCUCUCUCUUUCUCUAUCUUAUUCACUUUCUCUCUAAUGCAAUGAAGCACUUGAUUAUUCCAUGAAAUCUAUUCUUCCAAUUCAUUUGGUAUCAGAGCCUACCCUUUGAUUCUUGUUGAAUGGGGCACACUCCAUCCCCACUAUGUUUGCAUACACUCCUGCCCAAUCAAGUUCCCAUCUUUGAAAAGGGGAGAGCAUUAUGAUUAUUGGAGUAGUCAAAUGCAAACCUUAUUCAUAUCCCAAGACCUUUGGGAUGUGGUGAUUGAAGAUUCGUAUGAAGAACCACCUCAAGAUCCAGAGGAUGAAGAAUAAUGGACAGCAGCACAACAAAAACCAAUACAAGGAGAAAAUCCAGAGGGAUGCAAGCAAUUUCGAUACAUUCAACAAGGAGUGAGUAGAGGGUCCUCAAAAAACCACAUAGGAUAUCUUGAUAGAAGUGUUUCAAGGAAAUAACCAAGGAAUAUUGAGAGAAGAGAGAAAUAUAAAGAAAUAGAUUUAGAUAAGAUAAGAGAGAAGUAGAAUAUAUAUAGAGAAUCCAACUUUGGCAAAGAGAUAAGUCUAUUUCCGUUUAGAUAAGAGAGAAGUAGAAUAUAUAUAGAGAAUUGAGGAUAGAAUUGGACACCAGGGCAAUGAAGGAAGGCCCGGAAUACUAUCUUACAAAAGUCAUAGAAAUAGUAAAUAAGAUUAGAAGUCUUGGAGAUACCAUUGAAUACAAGAAGGUUGUUUCCCAAGUGAUUAGAAGUAUUAUUAAUAAUAUGAUCAUGUUGUAGCAGCAAUAGACAAAGAAUCCGUCUGUCUACUUAGUACUACAAAUAUAUAUGGAAUUACAGAGUUCUAUAUGGAAUUACAGAGUUCUCUUCAAGUUCAUGAGGAAAGAAUAAACCAAUCCUCCAUCCAAUCUUCAAUUAUAGUGUCUACAAUCCUCCAAUCUCCAAUUAGUUAGUAAACUCCCCUUUUUUAGGAUAGGAGGUAUCAAAACACUUUGGGAAGAAGAUAAGAGCAAAGCGUUCUCUUGGUUUCCCAUGUAACUCCUUGUUACAGCCACACAUUUCUUUCGUUCGCCUAUUUCGUUCUCUCGCUCUGCUCGCUGCGCAAGUAGGAGUGGCCUUGGGACUGCAACCCCGAUUUCUCCCGAUGAGAGAGAUGAAGAAGAAGAAAUAUCCCUAUCCCAGUACAGUGGAAGGAAGAAUGCUUCGAGAGGUCUUUCCCUAUAGCGCUCGCCACAACCAAGAACGUUGAUAAUUCGUCCGAGUUCGGCUAACAGGCUUGCACCUUACAUAUAAUAUCUUAACAGGUAGAAACCGUGUGUGUAGUAUAUAAUAUCUUAACAGGUGGAAACCGUGUAGUGGGAACCGAACUCAAUAAUAGGACGGACUACAAAUACAAAUAUAAGUAUACGAGCUUCUAUUGUGAUCACAGUGCCUAAAUGAUCUUAUUGGGCUUCAACAAGUCAAAUAAUAAGUGAUAGUUGACUCUAUAAUUCUAUCUCAGGUCCUACUGGGAAUCUCUUUUUCUCAUCGGGUGAAUAAGCUGGUCGGUAAAGCAGGAAGAACUACAGCUUCCCCUCAACAAUUCCAUCUUUUUCUCUCUAUUACAAAAGAGAAAGAGCUUUUCCUGAGAUCUUGGCUCUAUAUUUGGCCCCUGUUUUCUUCUUCAAGAAGCGGCAGCCAUCUUUCAUUUCCCCAGAUGUGGACUGUGAUAAUGGGAAUGGAUUUGUGAUUGACACGGGAGCAGCUCUAAGCGUUGCAGGCGGUUCGGUGAUUGGCUUGUCAGGUAAUCUCUACAGCGUAGGUUGAGUCUCAAGGAACAGUCUACAGAUAAGAUUAAGAGAAAUAAGGGUCUAUUGUACAGAAGUAGGUAAUUAGAGAAUCUUAGUCUCAAGCAGGGUGCUCUGAUAUGAGUUUAGUUUGGAAAGGGAAGCAAUACAGUUGACUAUCUCCUCCAUCAUGUGCAAGAUAUAUUCUGAAAUUCCAUGUUUACUUCUCAUAGGCCUACUUCUAGUUCAUGCACGUAUCAAGUCUCGUCUCAAGUGGAGUCGCCUGGUGAGUAUAUCCAAAGUGAUUACGGUGUCUCUGUCCUAACUUCUAGUGUGGGGUUCGGUUCGUAAGGCAGAAUAGAGUUAGCAGUAAGCAGUGUUGUUUACGUCUUUCUUUCUAUACUAUAUUAUGCUAGGUGGAUUCAAUGCAAUAAGCGAGUGUCUAGUGAGGUUACUAAUGGACCAUAAUAGGUUCACUCCAUGAAACAAGAAGAAUCCGAAUGCAGAAUCCAUUCAGUACGCGUGACUUCACACUGCACUGGCCAACUCUCUUGGACUUAUUGUAAUGGCGGUUAAUGCUUGACAAAGCAGAGGUUUCUUUUGAGGUUUAGAGUAAACAAGCAAGGGUAGCUAAUUUCAAUGUCACUCUUAAGUCAGAAAAAGCAACGGAACAAGCAAGGGAAAAAGAAUAAGCCAAUAAAGAAGCAACGGCGCUAUUUUCUUAAAACAAGCCCCGAGAGUAAGCUUAAGCUCCGUUUUGUUCAUCUCCUAAAUCAGAGAGAGGCCGGGUACACCGCACUCGAUUCCAUUCUUAAAGCAGCGGAACAAUACUAAGUGCUUAGGUAAAGAACAAUACUAAGUGCUUAGGUAAAGUCUGUUCCUGUCUUUCCGUGUUAGGAGUGAGUUGUGCUUUAGGGAGUUUGUAGAAACUUAUCUAACAGUGCUUGCUGUGCCUUAAUUCUAUUCUUUUGCGCUGUUCCUAAGGUGCACUCAAUGAUAUUCUCUUCUUCUGUGAGUAGAAUCUCCUCCAUAUUAUAGUGCUUAUUCGCAAGGAAGGGGUAGUUCGAAAGCAAGCAAGGGUAGAGUUCCAGUCCAGAGAUGCGCUUUUGUGUUAACGCCAUGAAUUACUAUAAGGAAGGAUAAGGGAUAAGGCCGGGGUUCCUCUAUUCUAACAAAAAGGAAGCAUUGGUGAUUGGGUGCGUUAGCGAGUUGAGUCCGGGGUGCUGGGACAAGUAGCGUCGAAAAGCAACAUUUGAUUCUUUGGGUUGCGCUGUAGUGAGUGGUGCGAACAACUUAUUUGAGUUUCGAGUUAGGUUACCACGGAGUAGGCAUACUAAUCUCAUGACUUAAUAGUCUUUUAACUGUGUCUAAUGAAUUAAUAGUCUUUUAACUGUGUCUAAUGAAUUAAUAGUCUUUGGCCGAUAUGAAACAAGUAAACGAGCAAGAGCGAAAACACACUUUAGGCAGUGGUGAGAUUACCUUCAGACAGAAGUGGUGCACUCUCUCUUCCAUAAGUGAAAGAACUCAAGCUACCCAUAUUGACACUAAGACCCAUAACGCGCGCAAGGGAACAAGAGGUAAUUGUCACUUAGAAUAGGCGCUUUAAAGUCAAGGCAAGGCAAGGGAACUUUACUUGUGCGUUAGCUUACUUUCUGGGUUGUGUGGUAAUCUUAUAUUCUUUCUGGUUUUGAAGCGAAGGAGGGAGUUUACUGGUUUCUAUCAUAUGCGCUAUCUAGAUGAAAUGAGACAAGCAACAGAACAAGAAGACUACAUGUUUGCCCAAUAAGCUAGGGCGCUAAGAACAAACGCAGUGAGAGUAAGCUGUUAGGUUCCUUACUUAGUUGUCAGUGAGAUGAUUGAAUAAACAAGCAAGUCUACGAGUUCCAGAAGCCAAAGUCAGUGUGUAAGAGCUCCCGUUGUUUGUUUGUUCCGUUGCAGAAGCCCUUAUUUCCCUUUAUCACUCAUAUCAUCUCAUAUCCCCGGAAAGUCAAAGAAUAGAGAUAGGAUAGGCACAGUUCAGUUGCUUAUAGAAGAUUGGCACCCAUCCAUUAUAGAAAUAAGGAAUAACACUGCUGACUGCAAUGAACGAACAGAGAGAGUACUUUAUAGCUUUACUAAUAUAUCCAUUAGCAAGUUCUUUUACACUCCCCCAAACAAUAAGACUCACGUUAGCGCCCUGAACCUUUGCUUUGCUUUCCUUUCCGAACCCUAGUAUACUAGACAAGAGUACUAAUUUCUUAUUGCCGUAGCUUAAACUCACUUAAGCACUAGCGCAUUGGUAUUUCUAUCAUCAAUUCUACUUUACUGGAUUUGAAUACUUUCUUUCACAGCUUCUUUAUAGGUGGUUACUACUUUCUACUUGAUACGAGACUUUAGACUUCUACAGCAUUAACAACUAAGUAGGCAGAGUUGGGCCGGUUAGACUUACCUUCUCACUAUAUAGAAUUGAACCUCUCUGGUAUAUGAUAUAAUCUUGUAAUCUGGAACCUAACAGCUUGUUCGAGCUCGCAACGUCUUGCACAACACCACUAACGCCCAACGGCCGAGCUCACGUAAGCGCUACUUUACUACAAAGCUUGUUCAUUGCUAAAAAAACCUUAUUGUGACCUUGCUUCUUCCUUUCAUAAAAUCUAUCUCUUGCAUAUAACUGAUAUGAAUGAUUUUAGUGCGCAUAGCAUAUAAGUGAUUCAUUUUUAUUGCAGCGCCCAUAAGAGAGAGGAAUAGAAAUACACCUGACCUUAACUCUAUGCUUUCAUUUGCUUACUGAAACUCUAUAAUCGAGUAACAACACUGCUGACAUAUUCCAAAAAUCACUCAUAUUGGGUCGGGGCACAGUUCCAUAAGAAAAUACGAUAACAGUGUUGAGCUGUUUCAAAUACUAUACUGAAGGAAUAUGGUUGGUUAGCGCUUUCUUUUCUUGGUCUUCUAUCUGAAGGGUCUUCCAUCUGUAUAGAAGCUGUUGAUGCAAUAAUGGGUGUUGUACGCCCUUGACUCUAUCCCUAACCAUUGAGAGUGAGGCACCUUCUCCAUACUAUACUGUUACUUGCCCUAACCAUUGAGUUUAGGCAUCUUCUCCAUACUAUACUGUUACUUGCCCUAACUAUUGAAUAUUGGCACCUUAUAGAAACUAUACUGGAACUUGGCGCCUACACUCGAACUGGAAAUCAAUCUACUUCACUACUUACCGCUUCAGAAGGGUAUUCUCCACUACUACUAAGGUAAAGGCAAUCAGUCCAAUCACCUUUAGCGUCGCCAACACCAAGAUACCGCACUGCCUCUGAUCCAACUUCCAUACCUUAUACAGAUAUAGCUUGUUCUUUUGCUCGGAUAAGAGUUAGUUGUUUCUGCGAGAGAGGAGAGGUCCAGUCCAAGUUGUCAAUCAAUUGAAAAGCCCUAAGUUGUCCCCCCAAGCAUUUAAGGUGGUUAUUCCAGUUUGUUUUUGGCAAUCAGAUCUUCAUGACUAAAUGAUUUUCCUGGUUAACUCGGCGCUAGGCUAGAUGAAAUUCCAUAUUAUUGGUAAGGGAUCAACCAAGAGCUGGAUAUGGAGUUUGAUAAAGUAAGUCAGCAUAAGCAAGAGUAGGAGUAGUUAAAGAAGAUGUUUCUCAUGGUCUUGGUCAUAAGCGGGAGUAGGUUCAUAAAGUGUAGUUCCAGUUGCAAGAUCAAUCAGGUGAGGAAUCCGUUCAAGUUCUAGGAUCGGAGGCAGGUCCUACCCUUAAGUAAUUGGUGGAAUCUACUCCACUAAGAAGAAAAAGACGCUAAAGGAUCCGCAGGAGCAGGAUGAGGCCCAGUAUCAAGUCUAGACUUAAUGGCAUAAGAACUUAGAAGCGGUUUUUCGAGUUUUGUAUUUGUUAUUACUGCUGAUGUCUUCGCAUACUAUACCUUAUUAAUAAGAAAUUGAAUCACUGUUAACAUUAAUAAGCAAUUGACAUACCUCUAAGCCUACUGCUCCUUGGUUUGAUUCUAUCUUUUCUUGCUUCUACGCCUUAUUUCAUUAAGUUAAUUAACUGCCUUAUUCCAUUCACUUUAUUAACCUUAAAUGAAUUCUCCUGUUCGCAUAUAUUAAUGAUUCCCAUUCACAAUAGAUGCCUACCCGGUCCACCAGCACCUUACUACUGGUCUGUGACUCCUGGGCUUAUUUCUGUAUUUGCUUAUUACGUGCUUGGUGCUGUCCUUCUUUUAUUCCCGGGUUUCUAUUCUCAUAGUAGUUGCAGUUGACUUAGAAAGGGAUCUUUACCCAUUAAUUGAUUUCUUGAAACUCAAACAUAGGUAUCGGAUCGGCAGUCCAAGAAUCAAAGUCCGUAGUUCGAGCCUUGUUAGCGGCUAGAUCAAUUCACACUUAUGAAUCAAAUCCCUAGUUGUCGACUUGGGUGCUAAGAAAGGAAACACACUAUACUCUACUCGGAGAAUAAGGAUUUGGAGAGGAAAGUAAAGUACUAAUUUCAUGGAAUGGAAUGGAACUAGCAAAUCAAAGAAUCGAAUUUCUGAUUUCAAAUGUAUGUACAAUACAAGAAGACUAAACUCCCUUGACUUAAUAUAAGGGCAAGUUGAUUUCCCUACCUGAGUUACUGAGCAAGAGGCGAGGUCAAGUACUGGCAAGGAAGCGAGGUGUAACAAAAGAAGUAUAGUUUCGUUCGGAUAGCCCUGUUUAUAAGGUAUGCAGUGCUAGGAAAGAAGCCCAGAGCGGAGCGAGUCUUCAAGGGAGAUAAGAAGUAUUUGUUGACUUAGCUAUAUCAUAAUAAGGAUCAUCGGCUGGGGGUGGAUCAGGCGAGGAAGCUGGAAGUUUCGUUUAGUUCGGGUUACUUUCUUUUAUGUAGUAAGUAGGGUGAGUUGGUUCUUAAAGCUGAGUUCGCUAGUCUUGUCAGGGAAUCUAUACAGCGGAUGUUUACUCGGAUGCUCUACCUAUUACAGCUGACUCUAUUACCCCACGUAGCAGAGCAGUAAGCGCGGAAGAUAGUAUUGGCUUUGAAGCGGUAAGUUGAGUUUCGUCAUGAUUUCACUUCGGAUCAAAACUAAGUCAAUAAAUAAGUAGGUUAUUAUGUUGUUUGGUUCAUAAAUCUAAGUGUAGUUCGCCGUAGUAGCUCGUAUAUCGUUGAGUAUACGUUAGGGAAUCAAAGGCUAAAGUCAGUACAGCAACCGUUAAGUCGACAAGUUCAGAAGCUAGUGAAAGAGUCAGUUUCAAUAAAAUCCGCAGUUGGGUAUCCAAGGUAUCCAAAGUUUCCAGUUUCAAGUCGAGUUCCUUUUCUUUCUCCUAGCAACGUUGAAACCUGUUCUUUACUGAUCUGUAGGGCUACGUUUGUUAAGACAGUGGAGUUCUUAGUUAAGCUAGUUUAGUAUAUAAGGGGUCAAGGGUAAUAAUCAAUCUCAAGAGGAAGGGUGCGGUUUUACAAGUGACUAUACCUUACAAGUGACUAUACCUAGUGCUCAAUAAAAGAGUCAAGAUUAACUGAAGUAGUGUUCGAGACCCUGCUUGCCGUGGAGAAUAUCCAGUUUGAGUUGACAGAAACAGUCCUUGCAUAAGCUUCUGCUACUACCACAUAAAGGUUAAUCCAAGCACUACUAUACUAGGUCAAGUCAAGUCGGAUGCAAAGAUUGGUUCAGUUGGUUUUAUUUACAGAUAAUCUUUACUAAUGGGAGUGGAGAGGACUAGUUUUAGGUGAAGGAGUUNNNNNNNNNNNNNNNNNNNNNNNNNNNNNNNNNNNNNNNNNNNNNNNNNNNNNNNNNNNNNNNNNNNNNNNNNNNNNNNNNNNNNNNNNNNNNNNNNNNNNNNNNNNNNNNNNNNNNNNNNNNNNNNNNNNNNNNNNNNNNNNNNNNNNNNNNNNNNNNNNNNNNNNNNNNNNNNNNNNNNNNNNNNNNNNNNNNNNNNNNNNNNNNNNNNNNNNNNNNNNNNNNNNNNNNNNNNNNNNNNNNNNNNNNNNNNNNNNNNNNNNNNNNNNNNNNNNNNNNNNNNNNNNNNNNNNNNNNNNNNNNNNNNNNNNNNNNNNNNNNNNNNNNNNNNNNNNNNNNNNNNNNNNNNNNNNNNNNNNNNNNNNNNNNNNNNNNNNNNNNNNNNNNNNNNNNNNNNNNNNNNNNNNNNNNNNNNNNNNNNNNNNNNNNNNNNNNNNNNNNNNNNNNNNNNNNNNNNNNNNNNNNNNNNNNNNNNNNNNNNNNNNNNNNNNNNNNNNNNNNNNNNNNNNNNNNNNNNNNNNNNNNNNNNNNNNNNNNNNNNNNNNNNNNNNNNNNNNNNNNNNNNNNNNNNNNNNNNNNNNNNNNNNNNNNNNNNNNNNNNNNNNNNNNNNNNNNNNNNNNNNNNNNNNNNNNNNNNNNNNNNNNNNNNNNNNNNNNNNNNNNNNNNNNNNNNNNNNNNNNNNNNNNNNNNNNNNNNNNNNNNNNNNNNNNNNNNNNNNNNNNNNNNNNNNNNNNNNNNNNNNNNNNNNNNNNNNNNNNNNNNNNNNNNNNNNNNNNNNNNNNNNNNNNNNNNNNNNNNNNNNNNNNNNNNNNNNNNNNNNNNNNNNNNNNNNNNNNNNNNNNNNNNNNNNNNNNNNNNNNNNNNNNNNNNNNNNNNNNNNNNNNNNNNNNNNNNNNNNNNNNNNNNNNNNNNNNNNNNNNNNNNNNNNNNNNNNNNNNNNNNNNNNNNNNNNNNNNNNNNNNNNNNNNNNNNNNNNNNNNNNNNNNNNNNNNNNNNNNNNNNNNNNNNNNNNNNNNNNNNNNNNNNNNNNNNNNNNNNNNNNNNNNNNNUUGACCAUAUUCUAGUAAUCUGGUUCUGGUUGCUCCCACCUUAGAAUUCGUGAAAUUAGUAGUUUGACUCAUCCCGUUACUUGUUCAAUAAGCGUAGUUAGUGUCCCGAAGAAAAAAGUAAGCGUAAGCUGAAGAAAAGACUUGCACAAGAAACUUUUGAUACCUAACUGAAGUCAGAUCCAGCUUAUUAUCUUGUUGACUUCACUCGCCCUACUUCCUUAAAAGAUGAAACUCCAACUUAGAUUUAAGAACCGACAACACUGUCAAUGGUACAAGCACCCGACCCGACCCCAACUCAAACAAGCAAUCAAGUUUUCAAGUAAGUAAGUUGACUUAUUGCUUUGGAGGAACUUUAUUACUGCUAUUCUAGAAGUACUUUAUUUGAGUGUAAGCGGACUUGGACCACUACUCUACAAGGAGAGGGAAACAAACCAGUCAAUCAGGCUAAGGUAAAGCCUAUUAUAGAAGCACUAACAAAGGGAAAGCUGUCAAUCAGGCUAAGGUGUAAGUUUCAAUCAGGCUAAGGUAAAGCCUAUUAUAGAAGCACUAACAAAAGGAAAGCUAUGUGUAUCUUGACUCCAUCUUCUAUACCGGGGGUACAAUAAAAGAAAUGAAUGUUUGACUCGGCGUGUUAUAAGUUGAGUUUGCGAGAUGGGCUGUUUUUGACUUGUGCUAAUAGAGUGGAGCUUCAUCUAGCGUUAGGAGAGUUCGCGAAAGCCCUUGUGCGUGGAGAAGAUAAGUUAUGGGCUUUGGUUCUAAGUCAGAGGUCAGUGAGCUACUGGAUAACAUUCCUACUUUAUGGGCGGGUUAGAUGGAUUCCAUUCAUGUUUGUUCGAUUGAUUAGCCUAAACCUUGUCCCAACAAGACUAGGUGCGCUUAUCACUCUUUUACCCACUAGCUGUGUUGGUGAGUGAGAAAGAAGGGUUGAUAGUUGUGUUGCCGGUUCAAUAACAAGUAGAGUCAGUUCGGGUGCAAAGCAAGACAAGAUGGAUUCCAGGGCCUGGCUUAUCCGAGACAGCCUUAUGGUUAUGGCUGGAACCGGCCUUGCUAGGCAUAAAGUCAGUAUGAUUCUUUCUCUCUCUCUUGCUUGCCUGCGGGCUUGAAACCAAACGAGUAUAGGAUUUCUUUCAUGCCUGCUAUCCAAUCAACGCUCAUAAUCUGUUCCAAAGAGAAAAUAACACUUUAGAGAACCAAAUGAAAAAGACGAUUAAAGCAAACUGCAGCUUUUACUAAAUAAGAUAUAUAUCCUUGAAACUGGUAGUGGACCGAGCCCUAACUUCUUCCCUCCCUAUAGCUUCGCUCGAUCGGAAUGAAAUCCUCUUAUCCUUAACAGCUAGCUACCCAUCUGCAUUUACAUGAGCCGAAAACUGGACUCGACUCGCUCUUAACUCAUACGUCACGUAAGCACAACGAACAAGAACAAUAAAACAAACAAUAGAAUGUUGAUUCCUAAGAAGAGAUAGAAGGAAUCCAGUAAACUAACUGCUUACUUACAUAUAAUUAGAAUAUGAUAGCGUGACCAAUAUCUAGUCAGUGACACAUGAUAGAAAUGGAGUAAUAUAACACACUGCGCGACAUAGAGAGUAUAGAUAUAAGAAAUUAGUAAACAAUCACUCGAGACUCACUUUUGGAUUGAAUCUCUCUCGCUUAGUUCGAAAAGGAGAUCUAUCUCGCUAAGUAUAGGAUAAAGUCACUUAGAACCUCGUAUAGAAUCCAGUCACUUAGAAACCCGACCCCUACAAGGAGAUCUAUCGCUAAGUAUAGAAGAUCAAUCAAGUCACUUAGAACCUCUAAAUAGUAGUGCACACACCCUUUGUAUAUAAGAGUGCACACAUCCCUUGUAUAUAAGUCAGAUUUGGAAGAAUGUAGCGGUCAUCCAGAGAAGAACAUUACUUUUGAUAGAUUAUUAGAUACUGAAGUUAACCACUCACUACUGAUAGAAGAAUGGAAUAACAUGACUCUCCACUCUGCACUUAUGGAAUGGGAGAUAGUGCACACCCAAUAUAUAGAUUCUAGUUAAUUCCCACCUAUAAGAAUAUGAUUGACUAUUCUGCUCUGCACGAGCUUCUUUCUACGCUACGUUACUAUCUACGCUACUGCUCUCUGCACGAGCUUCUUUCUACUAUCUAUGUUACUGCUCUGCACGAGCUUCCUUCUAUGCUACGUUACUAAUCUACGCUACUUCUCUUUCUUGCAUUAACAACCAUUAACCAUAAUAAACCAGUGAGACUUAUUUCACUUAUACUAAUACUGACGUUGUGAAGCAGUGCUUUCUGAAGUGACUUGCUUAUAUCAUAUGCUACACUGAUGUAUUGGUUUACAGGCCUGGCCCGGACUUCUUAAUGGUUGGUAGCUUGAGAAGUCUCUUGUAUCUCGCGUAUCCUAGAUUCUGGAGUCUUGAAAUCUCUUGUAUCUCGUGUAUCCCCUAGAUUAUGGAGUCUUUAAGCAAUGCUGCUAGUCAAGAAGCAAAGCAGUGUGUUUUACUUGACUUAAUUCAUUAUAUAUAUGUGUGUAUUUGUUCUCAAUUUCGGAUUUCUAUAUUAACUGUUUCCUGAGCACUUUCCCUAUUUAUUGUAAUGUUUGCAAGAGAAGUAACAAGUAGAAGGUCAAGUUUCAAGUCGAGUAUAAAGAAAGGAAGCAAUGCAGUCAGCAGUUUUAUAGCGCUUAGAGGCAUUAGAUUAUUCAGGAUUAAUGCAGUUUCGCAGUCUUUUGUUCCUAUAGCAUAUGUGACUUCAACUCAGUAAGGAGUAAAGAGUUGGAUUGAAAGUGUAGUCUAUGAGAUAUGUUAUUGGCGCGAGUCUACACUACGAUAGAAUCAUAAGUGUGAGUUGAUGUUGAAAGUCCAGGAGAAGAAGACUGAUUAGAAGCUGUUCAAUUGUCAGCAGCAAGUAGUUCUUCUUAAAGUGUAGUUCCAGAUUCCAGGAGAGUGAAAGAAGUAGAAGAGAAUGCUUACCUAGCGCUUAAGGCUAAAGAAGAAGCUAGAUCAGAUGCGGGUGAGGAAACAGGCCCAACAUAUGAAAGCAGUAAGAGUGAAGUCGUAGAGAUCAGAAGCUUGCUUGAUCCGUAGUUUUAUACCUAGUGCUCAAUAAGCUUUCAAUUCCAUUCAACACUUGGAGGAUAGGUUGCCAAAAGGUAAUAAUCCACUUUGCUACUGGCACUCGCACCGCCCUCACUUCACUCCACUACUUCGAGCUCCAACAGAAUAUCCGGCUUUUAGCUAAGUUGAACCUCUGUUCCACGACAUUUUCGCUUAUAAUCUUUCAGGUUCCUUCCCGCUUGCUUACUUUGUCUCCGGGGAGUAUACUCUCCUGUUACGUCAUUCUCUACUGAGCUUGCUCUUUCUUAUCUAGAUUCAAUGAUUUCUGCUCCUGCUCCGCCAAGCUACUACUGUAGUAUAAAGUAGUAUAACCUAUUUGUUAAGCAAUGAUCAAUAUGACACUUGGAUCUUUCGAGUCCUGUUCUAUGCCCAACAACUAUUCCAGUUUUCGCUAUUCCUGUUUUCGGAGGUUUAGGCUCAAUCAAUUGAAACCCCCCGCCAGUCUAGUGACCAGUCUAGGCCUAUAAACAAUGAUUUGUCUAGGUUAGGAUACUUUGAUACAUUGAUUCACUUACCGCUUACUUGCGCACUGCCUCUAAUCCUUCAUCUGAUCCUGCCCCAGCUCCAUCUUUUGCUGAUGAUCUUGUUCCUACUUUGAUCCUUAUUCUACAGGAGCUCACUUUAGACUUACCUCAAUUCCAUUCCUAGUAGUUAGGUUAGGAUCGACCUCGCACCAGACGCUAUGCCGCGCUCUUCUAUCAAGUUCAGAGCGCGCCUCCGCUUUCACUGGAAGGCUACCUGAGAGAAAAAACAAACCUGUGCCAAAUAAACGAAAACGAAUGCUCUUUCUCAUUUAACGAUUGGCUUUGUGUUAAGUAAUACCUCCCUACCGUAACCAAGCACACCCACGGCCUUCUUUGGAAAGGAUUCAGAUUUGUUCAACAUUCCUCGCUCACUCGGACAACCCCACCCGGCAGCCAUUCGCUCACAGAGCUUCGCCUCACUUGCAAACGACCGUUCACAUGGAUGAACUAGUAUAGUAUAUAUAUAUAUCAAUAGUUUUUUCUUAUGGUUAAUCUAUAUAUAAUAGAACUAAUGUAUUAAACAAUCAAGAGAGUGGAUUCAUCCUAACCUAUCGAACAAGAACAGCCAUUGAUGCGGGCCAGCAACCAAAGAGAUAGAACCGCGUCUUCUUAUUCCACGAAGAUUCAGACAAAAACCGAGCUUGGAUAAAACAGGGUCAAGAAAUAGCUAGGCUUACCACUAAUAGAUUUGGUUCUUUCUUUGUCCUAAGUCGGUCAUUAAAGGCCGAAAUCUAUGAGUUGUUGUUCCCUUUUCAAGUAUUUCUGGCUAUAUGGAAAAACUGCAAUUGAUCAUCGAAACCUUCUCUGCGGAUGGAGACUCAAAAGAUGGAUUCGAUAUUUCACGACCAGCCCACAUCAGGAAAACAGACUCCUUUGUGAGCCAGUUAGCCGACGGGGCGAGUCUCCGAAAGUGGCAGGUGUUACCCGGAGUUACUAUGUGGGUUUGCGCUUCUCUGAAAAGACUGGCACAAGGAUCGAAUCGAGCUAAUUCCCUUUCUGGGGAUUCACACCUAUGUAAUAGCAGAAGAAAGCAAAGGCCAAGCAACUACUUUCGAAUUGAACUAGGCUGAAACAAGCACUGUGAAUUCUAUUGUAAGACUUAACAAGCUGUUCAAGAAGAUAAGCGUGUCUGCUAGCGAGAAAGAGGGAAGUUUCUUCUUCAAGUAAGGAGCAACCAAGCAACUUCCUUGAGAGUUCCUGUUAUUGGCUCAUUGUCUACAAGAGAGGGAUCCGAGGCAGUGGAGGCAGUAUCAGAGGCAGUUCGUAAGGAAGCCGCAAGUGGAAAGUCUCAUUCCGUUAUUGGUGUUAGUGCUUCUGUAACUGGAUACUUUAGUUCUUAUCAAAUGCCUACGAUGUGUUGGGAAUGGGAAGAAAGAGACAUAACCGCGCCUAACUCAGUUAAUUAAUAACUUAGCUACUAGGCAAUAAGCUAUAAGAACAGGUUAUUACCAAUAUUCUGCAUUGUAGUAAAGUAGAAAACUCCAUUCUGAAAGGAAGGAAAGAGCAACCAAGCAGACCCUCUCACGCCAACACAUUCCCUUAAGGCUAAGACUAGUUUACCCCUAGUAUAUCUAUCUUCUUCUCUAUUCUCUACCCAUCUUUCUUGACCUAUCUUUUGACCCUAUUCUUAGAACUGAGAGCAGUAGGGCGAUACAGGCUAGUAAUGACUUUGCAAUAGAAGUAGGUGAGCAAUAGGGCGAUACAGACCAGUAAUGGAAUUGAAUGCACUUCACUUCAUAUAGAGCUAAGUCACUUCAUUAUAGAGCUAAGUCACUUCAUUACAAAAUACCGAAAGUGAGUUUGCCGGCGCAAGAACCAGUGAUAGAGUUCCUGAAACCGACGAACAGUUGUUAUAUUAAAUACAAUACCAGAGUUAGAUGAGCUAUUCUUAUCAGUAUUAAUAAUAAGAAAUAAGUAUAUAAGAAAUCCGUAUUAAUAAUCAGAAAUAAGUAAAAGUCAAUUGAACUUGUAUAUAAGGGGGUGUUUGUCUAACUCGAACAGUAAUUGACUGAAACUCCUAUCCUUCGUUAGCGCCUGCACCCGCACUGCUCACUUUAGCCUCUGAUUCUCACGCUUCUUACUUGAAACUGGAAUCCAUCAGCUUGGCACCUACCCCUGGAAACUCUAAGAACUCCGCUGGGCACCUCUACAAGUCAAUUAACGUACUUGUUCUUGCCCGAACUCUAGUUUUAGAACUGCUGGCUGCUGACUGACUUUCAACAACAGCGCUCGUAGCUGACUGACUUUCUACAACAUCACCGCUGUCAGCUUAUGAACCUUUAAAAGCUUCUUCAACUAGAAAAGGCACUGGUAUACCGAUCUCCUAUCCUGGGUCUCCCUAUCCCCUAUCCUGGGUGUUACCUACUGGAUUUCCCUUUCUUCUCUUCACCCUGAAACAAUACCACCAGCUACAGCGGGACAACCACUUGAGACUUGACCUCGAGGAGUCUCUGGGAACUCAGGCUCCCAUCUAUACCUUAGAUUCUAACUUGAGAGCUCAGCAGAUGAGGUUCGGGGGUCUCAUUCAAAUAGAAUAAUAAUAUAGAUGUGGGUGCCUCGCCUAGUAAGGGUGCCUAACCUGAUUCCGCCCGCCAAGCAAAUCUCUCUUGUUUUUCUUUUUCCUUUACCGAUCCGCUUCUAUAUUCUAUAUAUGACAAAACCAGAACUACACUUGCAGAACCGUUUGAUGCUUACCCCUUAACUGACUUAGAUCCGUGUAGGCUAUCCGAACUCCACUUUCAUAACCGAUGGCUGCUUCCUUGCGCACAAGCCAAAGAAUAAACUGAGAUACUGUGACACUGACACACUUGUUCUUACUGGGCAUUAGAAUAUUAGUUCUUGCUAGACAUAUAAUGUUUCUUCUUGCUUGCUGGGCAUAUAAUGUGUUUGUUCUUGCUUGGGUAUCUAAGAUUGGAAUUGAUUCUUUCGAUUCGAGCGGCGUAUCGCAUUAACCUAGCAGUAGGGUAGUAAACUCAUCAUUGCAUUAACCUAGCAGUAGGGUCACUAAUCAUUAUCUAAUUGUUUGUUUAUUAUAUAAUUGUUUGUUUCGAGCUUCGAGUAAACCAGGAAACCAAGGAAUUGAACAUAUCAAUUGAACAGCCCCUUCCUCACGCGUUAGGCAGCUAAAGAAGAUAAGACAAGAAGUAGAGUGUGAUUGAUUGUUAGAAUGUUGUUCCAGAGGUCGACCACAACUCGGUUAAGGGUCAAUUUCUCCAUUCGAGUCUAGAUGAUAUAUACUGUAUUCUUCCCUACUCCUUAAGAGGAAAGAGAUGUUUAACACACCGCUACGUCCACAUGGGCGUGAUCUUCGGCUUGGGUGGGCUUGGCUUAUUCAUCAUAGGAUCCAAAAGUGGAUAAUACGGAUGUCGAACUAUACUUUAUUAACCGAUAUUUGAGUCUUCUCAAGCACCCGACCCGAACUCCACUAGAUUCUGUUCUUUGCCUUUGUAGUGGUAGCUUUUCUCUUGCUCUAGUACUGUUGCUUGGCCCGCGAACUCAAUCUAUUCAAGUCUUGGCUGACGGGUUCAAAGAAAAGAAAGUCAGGACGAUUCUCAGUGCCGUGUUCUGUAUUUUAUUCGAAAUCGGAGCGAGUAAGGGUGUGCAUGGGUACCGACCGACAUCCGUUGCCUGAUGGUAGGAUCUAUCUUCUGCGCUAUCUUUGUAUAUAUGCUUCGGUCCCUUCCCUAGACCUACGCUACUAGUUCUAUUUUCAUUAAGCCGAAUCAUCAGAGGAAUCUUAGGUACUAACUCUAUGUUUACCUGAGAAGGAGAAAGAGUCCGGCAAGAAGCCUUAUUCCUAAUGGUAAGAAAAAGGGACCUAAAAGAAGGUGGGGCAGAGAACACCGUGCAUGAAGCAAGAGGUCGUAUACGUCUAGGGGGACUCCCAAUAAACAAUAGAGUGGAAGCGACGUAUACCUGAGUAUACCGAUGCCGAUGGAUUUCUUUUUCUAGAGAUUUCCCGUAGAAUAGGUUCUCCUUAGUUUGCUUUUCCCGAUAAGAGAGAAAGGGAUGCCUAUAUCGAUCGAUUAACAUAAGGCUUUAACAAGGGUUUCCCGACUUCUUUAUGUCCCCGAAAGGAAAGCUUAGCUAGAGGGAUCUCGUUUACUCUUAUGAGGAUUGUUUUUUCCUUAUAGCAUGUUAUACCCCAGCCUAACUUGACUUUUCUUGUUAGUUCAAUUCACCGAUAGCGAUUGGAUUGUGGUCCAUGGUGGAUAGACGGGGCAAGGACGAGUCCAGCCCUACCACUUGACUAUCCUGAACAAAAGCGCACACUCUAAAGUCAGUCCUACAAUAGGGGAGGACCCAUUGAUCCUUCCAAAACAUAUGUUGGUGUGGGUAGUGCCAUUGAUUAUGCCGAAUCCAGAGAUAGAGAUGAACUUAUCAUUUCCAAUAGUUAGUCCUUUCUCCUAGGGGCAGCAGGAAUUCCUCUAUUUGCAGUUGGCGGUGGAGCUGCCAGAAUGGAUUUCGGGAAAGGCUUUCGUAAGCGCGCCUCUUUGUGACCUUUCAUCCUUGUGAUCUUGUUGUCAAAUAUUCUAAAGUAGAACGAACUUCUCAAAUAGGCUAGCUUCGUCGUCUAUUCUCGGGGAUUUCUCCUAAUCAGCUGCCGUUCUUGAAGGUAUCUCAAAAGAGGAUGCUUUGGCUAAACCCACUUUCCCCAAAAAGAAAGACAGAUAGUUUGGAAAGAAAGAGAGUUUGUAAUAAGCAAGUAAGCUCGCCCAUUUGAUAAGUCAACUGAGAACAAAACCAGAUUGGAGAAACUUUGGAUCUGAAAGUCAGAAGAUAGGAAUGGAUAGUCAUUCACUCUCCGUUUGUUCCAGCCCAGCAAGGGUGCGAGUGAGCAGGCCAGGCUAAUAGUUGGGCAUUCAACGCGGAUACAAAUAAUAAAAGACGAGGUAAGAUUCUUUUCUGUUUAACAGCCCCGAGUUCACAGGUUAUGCCAGUACAGUAAAGAAGAGAUGGUUUGCUAAUUGGAUAAUCCUACUAAUAUAGAAAGAUUCACGUGCGAAGUGACGAGCGAAAGGCUAUAUUUCCUAGAGAAAUCAAACACUGUAACUUUCCUGUGGGCCGGGAUCAAAAAAACACCUAAGCUAAAAAGCAUCAAACCGCAUUUAUGGAGAAAAAUCCGUUUCAUUGUCUGGACAACUCGACGAGUCCAAUUACUAGCUUCUCUAGCCUUGUAUGCUUUUCUAUCUGAAAUAUCCUGCCCUUCUUUCUUCUUCCCAUUGCAGGCACUGCACACCUCUUAUAUUAUAGGAAGCUCCAAGAAUGAUUUCUUCUUAUUAAAGUAGCGAGUGUAUGGAGUUCUUCUUUUGUUUGACCUACUCGGGGGGUUUCCUUUCCUCGACUUUAAGUGUGGAAUUGCUGGAGUAUAUAUAUAUUUGUAUGAGUAAACAAGCCUACUUCCCUUUCUUUUUCAUCAUAUGACUGGGGCUUGGCAUCCCUUUAGCGUUACGUUACUUCCGAACUAUCCUUUACGCUUGCACCUGUGCUUAGUUCUCGUCUGCCCUGAACCCUGUCCUUAACAUCCGCCAAAAAGAGUAGUUUCCUUUCCCUUCACCCAGCUUUCGUAGACAUUCUUUAUUUCCCUUAACCCAGCUUUCACUUCAUCUUUCUUGCGCCUCAACAAAAACUACUUCACUGAAUCCUUUCACUUGUGCAGCUAAAGUCAACCGGGAAUCUCUUUCUUUCGAGCGGCGAGGCAGUCACUCCUUAUGCUCGCUUACGUGAAAAAGAUAUAGUUAUAGUAGCCCACCCCGAAGUCACCUCACACUGCUUCUCGCCCUAUCUGUCAUAAAGAGAAAAGCACAACUAUGAGUAACCGGACUUCUUACUCCCAAUAAUAGAAUGUAGGCACAAGUUACAAAGUGGAUACUUCGCCCUCCUAGUCUAACGCGCAACAGGCGAAAGAUUGGAGCUAAGCGAUUCCCUAUCUGAUUCCCUAAUUCAAGUUUAUGUUACCGCCGAACCUUAACCUCUCUUCUCUCCACGAAAAGAAAGGGAAUUCUUAGUUGCUUGUUGGGAUGAAACAAGAACAUCACACCUUUAUUCUUUACCGACGGAGAGCUUCUAUCUAAGACCUCGAUCUACUCACUCACGCAGGGUUUGCACCCACCCCAAGCAAAGAUACUCGACUUGAAACCCAUAUAGUACUCCUAACUCUCCUCAAAGAAUCGAAUUGGAACCGCUCACUCCAAAGCUAACAGCUGAUGAUCCAGCUUUCACGCCUUAUUUGGAACUAGCCUCUGGUCUUUCUUCUCACCUUUAUUCCGCUUCUCUUGAUCCACUUUCACUUCUUUAUUGAGCUACUACUGUUUGUUGGCCCUGUUUGAAGCUACCUAUCUGAUUUGGAUCGCCCGCGCCUGUAAUAGAAGUCCAGUAAACCAUUCAUUGAAUCUAUGUAAACCAUUCAUUGAAUCUAUCGAGCUCCGAGUCAAUACUUUCUUAUUGAGCACAUGGUAUAGGAUUAAGUAAGUACACAACUAACCUUUUGAAUGGAACCGCUUAAACGUCAAUCGAUUUCGAACCUAGCAGUAAAGAGAGUUGGGCCAGGCACAAUACUUAACGCUUCAGUGAAAUAUUCAUUUCAUAAAUCUAUCUAUUGUGCAUAUAACUUAGAAAUUGACACUCUGUCACUUUUGUAACUCACUGACAAACAGUAGAAUUGGAUCUCUCUCGAGCACAGAACUCCCGAAACAGGAGUGAGAGUAUUGCCAACUCACUGAUGCCCGAACACAGGACUUAAUAUAGAAACAGGGUAACCAAAGGGAUAGGUGGCUUACCGAUUAACAGCUUUUUCUCUAGCUUGAGAUUUCAAUCCUGCCUCACUAAGAUCCGGAUUCAGAUACUGCUAUACUUAACCUAACAACAUACCUUUAGCCGACCUAAACUCUCAAGUGACUUAUUGCUGACUGACAUGUAUUAGUAUUACUUAAAUCAAGGGUAUAGGCCACCUCUGAAACAAGAAUAAGCAUUAGUGCCAUUGCUUCUUGAGCAAGUCCUUCCUACAAGUCCUUUGGGUAUUCAUGGCGUCAGUAAAUAGGUGUUUGUUGCCCGGAUUAUUGUAUUGCCCUAAGCCAAAGGUGAAGUAAAAGCGUAAGCACCAACACCGACUUGAAGUGAGAAACCGCUGGCUGUUGACUUUAGAACUGAUCCUGAUACGGCUUGAGACUUUACUCAAACAUCAAUUGAUUCCUUACCUGCUCUAACAGCUUUAUCUGCUCCAUCUUUUGCUUUAGAUUCUGUAGUUUACAACACGGGAACAGCCUCUGAUCCAGCUUCAAAGCCUAUACUUUAUUCCGUCGGAUUCAGCUGAUUCUCUUGGCUAUUCUAGAGCUCACUUGAUAACUGCGUCCUGUAAGAGUUGAGGAAUAGAAGUGAUAUGGAUUAGAUCUGCCUUAGAGUAGGAGCGGGAUCGGGUACUUUGCUACAGGGGUUCCUCUGCGCCAAUUCCAUUCUGUGUUUUAGGGUGACUGUAGUAUAACCUAGUAAUAAAACCGCAAAGUGAAAGUAGGAAAACUUUGAUUCUAUCCUAUGUGGUUUAAUAAUCAAACUGGGAUUCUAGCCGGAUUCCACCCUAAUGGAAAGUUGUGAGAGAUGCUUCUUCAGUGUUGUUUGCCGGAGCAAGACUAAGUAGAGAGAAGUUCGGUGCUUGACGUCGGUGCGAGUGUUGCGGAAUAGUACCAAGGAAGAGUAGAAAGGUCAGAAUCAAUUCGAUCUUAAGCUCCUGUUAGCAGAACUCCCGUAAGCCAUAAAUACAGGACUCCCUACGGGUAGCCAACUAAUAUAUAUUAUGGAAGUGAAUGACUCUCUUCUCUUGGAGAUAACACAGGAAAUUCUUCUUUCAACUGUGGAGCUAACGAAAACAAACGGACUAUUUCUCAAUAUGGAGAAGUCUGUUUAUUGUUAUUGGGAUUGCUCUUUCAGCUCUAUGUUCCAUGGGUGCUACUUCCAUUGAUUCCUUGCCACUCCUUUUUUCUAUCCUAUUGAGUCAUAGGGAUCCCGGAUCUUACACCGAAAUACUAUACCAAGACUUUCCAAAUAAAAGGUUCAUGAGGAACAGAAAUAGACGUUGCUGAUCUCGGGCCUUCUGCUGCUGCCCCAGGGAUAUAGAGGAGCAAAGAAAAGAGGCUUGAAGCACCUUAGAUUGCAUUGCUCACUUGAGAGAAGAAAUAGCCAUGGCGCUGUUGUCCAUAGAGCAUAUGGAGAGAGAACGUGCUCAGGCGGAUCGGAUGAAGCUCUGGGACCGUGGCUUAGGCUGGUAGUAGAUCAGUUGGACUGGCCUCAUUCCCAAGAAUGUAUCAAAUAUAGAGGUAAGGCCGCCCCUUCAUCAUUUCCAGAAGAAAGGCAAGAAGAACCUUUUCUAUGCAAAGGUGGAUAACUGCAACCUGGCCAUAUUGGGGCCAUGAACCGCUUUUCUUUAGUGAAACGAUCCCGUUUUGACGUAACAGUUAAGUGAUAUCAAAUGAGAAAUUCAAACCAAGGCAACGUUUGGACUUAGGCCUUUUGGAAAACAGCCUGUUCACACGUGCGGGACUAAUCAUGACUGCGGCUUUUUGAAACGCUGCGGAUCAAUGAUAGCCGUCGUUUUGUCUUGAUCGAGGCACCUUUAUCUAUCUGGUAAAAGAGGAGAGGAGUCGUUUAGUAAUUAUACAGAAGAAUAGAAUGCUCCGAUCGAAGAAGAGCCUGUCGGCGUUAGAAGAACUGCCGGAGUAGACUCAUAUGUGUGUGUGGACCUACGCUAGUUCCCGGGUCUCAGUUGACCUUUGCUCAUUCCAUUUCUUCAAAGAACUCUUUAGGGCCUAUAUCGUCGGAAAGGAGUUAGGGUUCGGCCCUAUUAUCGUUGAAAUUGAACAUGGAAUUGGAGCUUGACCUUACUUGAAAAUAGCCUCGUUUUUUGGAUGAGAAAGUGGCCCCCCGUUUUGAUUUGAAGUGGUUCUCUAUCUAAGGAAUCGCUUUAAGAGAAAGGAAAGCUGGCAUCUUACCUAGACAGACGGUAGGCUUGCUUAAGAGAUCUAUAUCUUUUGGAUAAAACAAUGAAAUAUCGCGCUUUUCCCAUGGAGAUUGAUCAAUCUUUGACCUAGACUACUCAAAGCACAAGCGCCGACGUUUGAGUUAGAUCGGUUCAGCACGGAGAAAAGAUGGGAUUGAGGAGAAGUCUAAAUCAAACUACUCUGUAAAGCAAUCCGCAUCAGUUAUCGCUCUUCUCUAUAUCCAAUUGUAAGUAAAACCAGAAUGAAUUUCCAUAAGGGUCCUGAAUCUCAUCUAAAAGUCUAUUCGACAUGGAAAGACCCUAGUUUGGCAGACUCCAGUAUUUCCUUGUAAGGUAUAUCCGUUAGUCCUAUCUCAAUGCAAAUAUGCAAUAGCCAUUAUCUCUCGUGCAAUAGCCCUUAUCGAACUGGUCUAACUGCUUGCAAACCUGCUUAGACUCCUUUUCCUAAUAGAAUAGAAUCAUAAGUUCUCAAUUGAUGAAGGAGAACUGCUCGAAGAUCCUUCCAUGUAUAGACGAUUAGUAGGAAGUCUAAUCUACCUGACUAUGACAAGACCGGACAUACAUAGAUAGGCUGUUGGUAUUGUUAGUCAGUUCAUGCGGAAACCGAGGAAAACUCACUUAUAUGCAGCAUACAGGAUACUGAGAGAGGAGGGCUUUCUACUGGUAAAGGAAUCCUCAUUCAUGUCAACACAUCCUCUACGUUGGAGCUAUCGUGUUAUUCAGGCGUGGCCAGAUGUUCUCAGAUGACCGAAAGAAAGUAUACAUCGGGAUUCUUUGUCUUACCGAAAGAAAGUAUACAUUGGGAUUCUUUGUCUUACCGAAAGAAAGUAUACAUCGGGAUUCUUUGUCUUAUUAGGUAAAAGUCUGAGAACGAAAUGGGAGCAACAUAACAUCUGGUUUCCAAAUCAUUUCAAUGGGGAAUCAUUCGUGGUUUCGUUUUUAUGGAUAGAAAGAUAGAUUCUGCAUUUCCAUAUAGAAUUGUAGGUCUUGAAGUUCUUUCUUGAGUCUUUAGUUUCACCUGAUCAGAAAAGGGUGAGAACUUGAGAAAUAAUGAUCCAAUUCAUCAUUGGUGUGAUAGGAACAAAAAAACCAAUUGUUAUAGCCUAGCCACAUCCUUCCUAAGGUAAGAAAAAGCAGAUGAGAAAGCCCCCCUAAGAUGAUUCAUAAAGGAAGUUCAGUUGGGGCUCGUCCUCUCAAUGGCCUCGGGCUUAUUCCCUGACUCUGUAAGUUAUCGAUUUGGCGGAAGACCUUGAUUCAUUUCAUUAUAGGUUUCCGUGCUUUUACCAUGUCUCUAGAACAGUCUUCUCAGAAUUCCAUUUAGAUUUCGAUAUCUCUACCGUGCCUGGCUUCACACGGGAACAGACCGGCUUCUAAGGUUACUCAAAAAGGCUUCUGUCCUUGAGCACUAUACUUUGAUAGAUUCUUUCUUCAAGUCUUCUUUACUAUACUAAUUCUCGAUUGAGGUUUGGUGUGAUUGAACUUGUACCAACCAAUGGUGAAUAUUGAACUUGUACCAACCAAUGGUGCAUAAAGGAAAUAAUAGAUGGGCACCUCCGGCGAUAAGUAAGUUCGUUUCCCUUUAUCUUAGUAAGGAAUUAGCGCUCAACCGUUGUCUAAGAUCCUAAUCCUAGGAAGCAAGAGAUGUUACCUCUUAAGCAGAAGAUGGGCUAAUAGCAAGGCUCAAUCAAGAUCUCCCAUAGCUUGCUCAGCUGGAGGAAUGGCUGGCUCCGAAGGAUUCUUUUGUUGCUCCAUUCUACAGAUAUUAGGUCGCCACUUUUGGAAGAAAGUCUUUGCUUGACUUGCUCAUAACAGAUGGAUUCCCUUUCUAGUUUGUCUUGAACCAGUAAAUGGGAUCUCAUUUCGAGUCGAAGAAGAGAGAAAAAGCUCUGCCCAAGUGGCAACGAAUGCCGAUAAGCAAGUAUACAAGUUUCUUGAUUGGAUUGGAGGUUCAAAAGACCAAUGUCCGAAAGAGGGAUCAGACCGAGGCCUAGGAUUCUAUAUACUCCUCUGGUCUCUCUCGACCGAGUGAACAUGCCCACUACCUUCUACCCUGUCGUCCGUUCUUUCAUAGAAAGGUAUUCAAGGCAACUAAGCGGAUGGUCCGAUCCGAAAUGCUCAAAUUGCAAGCUCCCUUGCUAAGCUUCUUUCACAGGUAGUUUCAGGUCGGCGGCCUUGUCAACGGAAUUCCCCACUCCAUCCUGUGCUACAUCGAAUCAAAAGAUUCAUCCAUCCUGUUUUUCAUUUCCACAACAAGGAUCUUUAUCUCACUAAAGAAACCGGAGGCUGAUACCUGAGAAGUUGAGUUCCCCUAUGGAAUGCCUAGAAGGCCCCAUCUAUGCUACUCAAGCUGGUAGGUCAGGGAAAUAAAUGAAAUAAGCUUCUUCAAUUGGCAUGUGGUAAGCCCAUUUUCUCUGCUUUUGGUUUUUCAUCUAGAAUGCUUUAAGCGGUAUUUCAACAACUCUCAAUCUUGCUCUGGCGGUAUAAGCUUGCCUGUUGCAUUGCUCUUUAAGGAAGUUAGAUCCGCAUUCGUCUAAGCUCACCUGCUGCUGAUGAUACCAAAGAAGUGGAAUAGGGAAGCAAAGAAGGCCAAAUUCAUUCUCCUUUCUAUCUUUCUCAAAUUCAUUCUCCUUUCUAUCUUUCAAAGGAACAGGGGAUUCUCAUGGGGCAGCUAAAGAAUAUAUCUAAAGCGGCGCCCUAAUUGCAUUGCUUAUUAUUGGCUUCGAGUAACCCACCUUUCUCAAGCCAUCUGGAAACUUCCCUUAUACCUUCUACUGUUCUAAGUGCUUUAAAUUCAUAGCAAUAAGGCGGAUUUAGCAUCGUUUAAGGCACCAAGAAGACAGUUAGUUGUGGUUUCAUUCAGUUCAUGGUAUCCAAGGUGUUAGAACAGUAAUAGACCUCUAAUUCAGAACUUCCAGUGGAGAGUUCGGUUGCUCGUUUACAGUAUAGUUCGUCGUUAGGUAUCCCGUAUCAAGUGAUUCUGUUCGAUAGGGUGCACUCGCUAUGUCUUUACUUCAAUCUAUACGUGCAAGAUAAUCAAUGGAGAGUUUGACUCGGUCCAACAAGAACAAGUGUGCUAACUGGAGUUGUUGCCAAUGAAAUUGAUCUGCCAGAAUUCUGAAGUUGACUCGGCGUUACGCUAACAGUCGCUUGAGAAGCAAGUCCUGUUUUUGGGAGUUCUCUUCGAUAUAUUUCUUGCAGCAUAAAAGUGUGAUUUGAUUUGAGCGAAAAAAGAAGGAGCGGGGGCGGCAAUAAAGACAUAAGCUUCAUCCCAUUCUUUGGUGGGCACAUAGGUACUCUAUUCUUAUUCUAUACUAACUACAUAUCUAAAUGUUUUGCUAAAGGUUUUGAAGGCGGAAAGCGAAACAUGAUUCAUUCGCCUCGACGCUUGAGAUCAAUAGUCCCCGUUUUCUUCACACGGAGAAAGAUAGGGAAGGGAGUUCCUUCGGCGGCAGGAAAGAAAGACUGUUAUCCACCAUCUACCCCUUUCUCUUACUGUGAAUAAGACUGAGAACCUCCUUUAUAAGACUGAGAACCCCUUUUAUCUGACGCUAUUCCCCUUUGAUUUAUUGUUCACCCUAUAUUACCCUUUCUCUUACUGUGAACCCUCUAUUAUUAGUAAAGUAGUAAAGCGCCGCAACUGUUCUGCUCUUUCCUACCACUUUAUUGGACUUCGGGGACAACUAGUUUUAUAGGGGGAAAUCCUUAAUUGUUACAAAAUCUCUCUCUAAAGGACACGAAUCUAAUUCAUUUGUGCUAUACUUUCUUCUUUCCUUAGGUGCCGAGCACACAACAAAGAGUUAUCUUAUUUGAGAAUUUGAUCCAUACCAGGUGAAGAAUACCAAGACAUCUCUCGAUUGAAACAUGGGUUUCCUUUCGUUGAGCGUUCAAAAGGCUUUUUUUCGCAUCCCCUUAGCUUUGGCUUGUAAAGCUGAUCCGAGGCGCAAGAAAUAAAUGCACUUGGCGCCCUUUCUUUCAAUGGAUUUAGAUAGUUUUCGUGAGUGGCCGUUCCGCAGUGGAAUUCACUGUCAAUGAGACACCCGUUUUGAUUGCCAUAGGAAUAAUAGUGGAAAUCCGUUUCGACGACAGUUGAUCCACCAAGAAAUAUGCCUGAGUUGGUCCGCCAAGAAAUAUGCCUGGCUUUCGAAAUUGCCUCAAGGAUAUCAACCCUCAGGUUUCUUAUAUACUCCGUUUGUUUUGAAGCCGAAAAACCAAAUAAGUCAUUUGACUCUUUCGGGGGAAUCUUGGAAAUUGAUAUUGGAAUCCCUACUUCCUGCUCUGCUACUACUAUUCCAUUUAUAUUCCAUUCCUACUUCCUGCUCUGCUACUACUAUUCCAUUGAUUAUAUCAUAUAUAUGUCCACUUAUAAGUCCAAUCAAAUAAUAAGUAAUAUGUAAGUCCAAUCAAAUAAUAAGUAAUAUGGGGGUCCAAUCCAAUAAUAAGUAAUAUGGGGGUAUGGGUUCAAUUUCUUUCUUGAGAUGGAGGCAAAGGGAAUGUUUAUUGACUCAUUCCGCUGGGAUUCGCUAAAAGCUGCACUGGAUUUCGCAAGAAGGAUAUGCAGGAGGAAAUGAUUCAUUCCGUUCUAGAGCUAAAGAUUCCAGUGGGUUGCUUCAUUCUUAGUGUUUUUGUCAUUUGCUUUAUUCGGUUCAUUCUUCUUACCUCAAUAGAUUCGUUGAUUAUGAGGAGUUCGGAUUCCCCCGCUAGAACAUCUUCCCUAUCUCUUGCCCUUUUAGUGAGAGCAAAGGAAGGCCUCUCAAAGGAAUGGGGUUAGUUCCAGUGUGAAGUUAAGUCAUAAAGGCAACUAUCAUUAGAUGCUUCAUUCUCAUUCCUUUCAGUUCGCUCGCCCACAGAUCAAUUCGGAGCCCUUUUUCCUUUGAUGGGAAAAUAAUAGUUCCGUUCCACGGAUCCACUCGCCAAUACAUUCCCGAAAUAAUGCAUUCUCUAUAUACCAGCUAAGCUCACCAAUUUGUAUAUACAUAUGAAGUGAAGCAUAACGAGAGAAAGAGCGGAACAGAACUGUAACUCGUAUUCUGUACUCAAGCGCUAUCAUGUAAAGUUCUUUUUAGGGGUAUGGUACUACGCUACGUUUAAAUGCACUUUUUCUUUAACCACUUUUUCACUUAAUAGCUUAUUGCAGAAUAGGCAUAGAGAGAAAUUCACCUCUCUGAUCUAAUAUGUUCUUAGAGUGUUCCAUUCCUUGCCACUUUCUUUUCCUCCUAGUACUUCUAAUUGCAGACUAGUGGUUUCUCUUCACUUUGGAUAAAUCUAGAAUCAUACCGAAGCGAAGACCAACAUUUGCAUUUUCCCGGAACUAAAGGCAUGGAUUGGCUUUCCUUUCAACGCAUUAAAUCUUAUAUCUACACUAUUAUUCAAGACAGCAAACACAACAUGGUUCUGAGAUGCAGAAAACAAGUACCUUUCUAUUAGAAUAGUCUUCAAACAUUUUCUAUUGGGGGAUGGAUUCCGGCUUUCUUUAAUAAUAGGCUUAGUACAUUGGGCUGUAUUCGAUUAGACACCUUGACCAAGAACAACCCCGGUGCCGAAAAACCAAAUGAAGUCGAGAGGAAGAGAUUCGCUUUUUUCUGAAAUUAGCUCCUCGUUUGAAUAUUGGAUAGCUGAGAGAGUGCGAAAACUACUAGUUAUAGCUGAGGAGAGUGCGAAAACAACUGGAAAAGGGCCAUUCCCGAUAAUAUAGAAUAUUGAAGAGAAGUUAUUGGCUGUUGAGCUGGCUGGGUGCCAUAAUCAAGGUAGGUAUACAACUGUCCCGCUGUUGCUCCUUGCCUUAGAGUGGAAUAUGAUUGUAAUCUAGGUUCUGUUGCUAGUUUGCGCUGUGCCCUUGUAGUGUAAGAGUGGUGGCCUUGCCUUCUUUAGCUCCCCUUAGCGAACUACUGAAACGUUAGGAGUUUUUUGAGGGGAGGUUACGAACUCAUACAUAUAAGAUAAAGACAACAAGUAAACAAGUAUCAGAGAAAGGCUUCAAGUCAAUAAGCAACUCGGGGUGCUAAGGGUUAUUGGAGUUUCUAGAACUAGCGCUAGGGAACAAGCUUAGUUGAUUGAGCUCAGUUAGCCGAUUCAGACAGGAAGGACGGACUUGCUCUUGACUGAUAAUAACUCUGUAAGUGAGCUAUAAGCGAGAACAAGCAAGCCGGAGUUAUUGAGUUCGCUAAGAGAAAAGAGGUUGCCCUUUAGAGUAUUUCUAGUGUUGUUACUUUCUUGAGAGUAUUUCCAGUGUUGUUACUUUCGAGUAUUAUGGGUAGUCUACUUAAUUUCAUGAAAUUCCUUAGAGCCAGAGAAAAUGUAAUAGGUUAAGAGUAGGAGCAGGAAGACUAGAUUCAAUUCCAUUCAACAAGCUUUACUUUAGGCAAAAAAGAAUGGGGUUUGCCCUAGUUACGAAGAUAGCUCAAUUCCAUUCUGAAGUACUAUAAGGGGGCUGCUUGUCUUGCUUUGGCUUGAGAAAAGAGCUAGAGAAUCAGUCUAAUAGUAGAAAGUAUAUAUUGGUAUAAUAUAAGAAUAAUUGUAGUUGCCAAAACCCCUGUAUAAAGGACUCAGUAGGUGAACAAAGGAACGAAAAAAGGACUUGAACCAGACUUUAGCACUGCUUAUUCUAGAGUAGACAAGGAGGCGAGACAAGAAGUGUCAUUUCCUGUGUAAGAUCCAGCUUGCCAAACUAUAGAGAAGAUAGGCACCAUUAGAGAGAUACUUCGUCCUUUUUUGUUCAGGCUAUUCUCAUAGUUAACAUGUAGUCCACUAACUAAAUGUAACAGAACAUAUGUUUACCCCUAUAAGCUGUUCAUAUGCCUUUUCCCUAAGAAAGAACAUAACAUUCCAUGACCCUUUCCUAUUGCUGAACCAGACGCCUUUAUUUGUAGUGGCUUGUGCCCCGCACCCUAUACACUCGGAAGAGGCAGUCCGUCCAGAGUCUGACUUCCCCUUAAAAGCAGCUAGUUGUCCUUCUUCAGCGGAAAGGAAAGAGUAGAACAACCAACCAACCGAAUCUUUAUUUACUUAGCCUUCGAUCUAUCUCCUUACUUUAAUAAGUGACUUUAAUAAGAACACAUAAUAUCAUAUCCACAUAGAACUCAGACAUUCCAAAUUUGUUAAUAACAACACAGAACCUUACUCAAGAAAGACUAUUGGGUGACGAAAGAGAAUCUAGUCAAAUGGAAGUAUAUAAGUAAGUCCAGUCCAGAAUAAACUCAAGUCUAAGAAAACGGGGGGUACAGAACAGAGAAGAUACCAACUACUGUUUACUACGGUGAGAAAGAGUUCAAAGAGGAAGCCCGAAGUCAGGAGUAAGCCCCUACUUAGUAAGGCUUGCCCGAUACCAAUUACUAGACUAAGAAUCCAACUAAGUAGUUACAGAAUUGACCUCAGAGGUGAGCUAGUAGGAAAGUAGGAAUGAAACUAAUAGGUAACAGCCUUAAAGCCAGGGCGGGCAGCUAGGUACACUAGAUCAGACUACAACCAGUGCAUCUAAGAAUGAGAACAAGGGUACUAAGAUUGAUGCUAGGUAGCUCGGGUCUCUAACUACUGUCGCUAAGGCUUCAACCUGAGCUAACAAGCCUGAUAUGGGUGCUGCUAAGACUGAUGCCAGAUCCGAUCAGACUCAAACUAACACUGAGCAGGCUGCAACCACUGCUACCAAGGCUGAUGUUGGGCAGUUAGAGGCUGAACCCAGUACCACUAAGGCUGAAACCAGUCAAUCAAAGAAGGGAGCUGACCAAGGAUCUAGUGGAGAUCAGCUUAGAAUGCAACUAAGAGGUGAGCUACUGGGUAUGCAGUGUCAGGUAGCUAGUAAGGGUCUGGUCAUCAAGGAAAGUUUAGGGUAGCUGGGUAGCUGGGUUCAGGUAAGAAUAUAGUACUGGUAGUCCUGGAAGUAGGCUUCAUCUGCUCCUGUGCCUUCUGGAACCAGACUUUCCACUCCUAUGGCAUAAACUUCAGGUUGCAAAAAUGGACUGUCUUACUAAGCUGGCUACCUUGCUGCUUACGUUGAUUGUGAAAUUCCAGUAUUCAUGGCGUCAGGAGCUAAUAGGUAAAGUAUCCUGUUGCAAGUCAAGUUUGAGUGGAAUCCCUUGUUUCAGUUAAAGAAUCAUUUGAAAUGCUUUGUUGCCCACAAGUACGCGUGCGAUAAAAGCCUCUAAUAUACGUGUGAGAGAGGUUCUUGGCCCAAGUAGUAGAUAUAAGAAGCAUAAGCUGUCUCAAUAGUAGGAGCAGGGGAAUCAACAAGUUCAGAAGCAGUUAGGUAACAUAAUUCCAUCAGUGGUGCUCCAGAGAUAAAUAAUCAAAGUGGUUUCCUUUCUUCCAUGUCCUCUUUCUUUUGCUUUUGCUAUCUUAAUUCUUGUAGAGUUGUUAUAGGCCUAAGCAUAGUGUUUUUUAUAGGAACCGUUGAUCGAUUAUAGGUAUUCAAUGAUAGGAUCUUUCCGCUAUUGAGUCUAAGAACAUAUGGCUUAAAGGACACAAAAGUAUACCCUCACUUUCUCCUUUUCAUAAUAAUGUGAGAGCUAAGUAAACCUUGAAUUGAGUUAUCCACUAGCCUGUAGUUGUGCUUCCGCUCUUGCCUCCUCCGUACAGUUGUUGAGCGGUAUAUGCUUUCUUACUGCUGUUUAGUAAGUAUCUGCUUUGAGUAGGUAUCUUGGCGGUAGAAGAGUAGAAGAAAAAGGGCAACCAAGGCUAUUUAGAAUCUAGUAAUCCAUAACCAAUAAGUCAGCGAGGAAAUAUUCCAUAUUUAGUAAUCAAACACGGAGAGAGGUAGGCCAGGGAACCAACUAGUGCACAAAGUUCAGUUCAUGAGUGGAAUCGUACUCAGAUGCAGAGGUUCAGUCAUGAGCUGGAUCAGAAGAUGUAGAAGAAAAAGGAACAGAGUAUAAAUAAUAAGCAAAGGAAUCCUUCGUUCGAGUGAAAGUAGCAAAAGAAUAAGACCCUAUUGGCUUUUACGCUAAGAGAAGCAUCAGCUGUAUCAGAAUCCGUUCGAUAUCUCGGUAUUGGCGGUUCAGAAAGUGAAGUGAGAGUUUAGUCUGCAAGAUCAGGAGUCAGAGUGGAUACUGUGUAGGUAGAGUGCAAACUUUGUAGUAGUUACUUGGCUGGUCUUCAACUCGCCGAGCAAUCACUAUUCAAUCUCUCUUUGUCUUCUGUGAGGUGGUUGCAACACCUAUUUUGUAGCUCAUCUCUGUGGAGCUCAGUUUGACCUAUCUGCUCAAUUCCCUUUUUCUUAUUUAGUUCCUUUCUUAGGGGUGUCUAAGAGUACUUGCAUGAAAUCUGCUCAGUAGCUCAUUCUGAGUUUCAUAGGGUAGGGUCCAACUCUAUAUGCGCCAGCUGAAUACUCUAAUAUUAGAAUCUAAAGUAGUAUAGAUAUAAUAGGAAUGUUCGAAUAUUCGGAAUGAUAGAAUAUUAGGAACGGUCGAAUAGAAAGUAGUAUACAUGGAAUAGGAAUGGCUUACAUUUGGUGCCCUAAAUAUGAGAAAGUGAGAAUUGGUGCCCUAAAUAUGAGAAAGUGAGAAUGGAAUUGAAAACACCACUGAUGAGUUCAGCUCGGAACCGCCAAGAGAGGAUGCUUGCUCAGCUCGGAACCGCCAAGAGAGGAUGCUUAAGAAAUAGUAAUAACUCGAGAAGCUACUGUAUACAAGUAGGGAGUAAUCUAAGUAAUAAAUAGCUUUCUCCUUUAGACGAGUGUGAGUAAUAUCAGAAUACAGGGCUGGAGCAUGCUCGGGAAUUCAAUAUGAAGCAGCAGAGGCGGUUGCCAGACGGGCAGUUUCCUCAGUGCUGUAUCGAAGUUGCUGUAAGUAAACUCCAUUCUUAAAGGCAGUAACACAUACUUUACUGGAUUUACAAGAUAAGAGAGGUCCUUCUAGUAAGUUGAAGACAAACAAUAAGUGACUUUCUCGGGUGCCAGAUCAUAGGACUUGUUGUUGUCAAAGGAUCUGAACUCGUUAAGUCUAGUUUCGAAGAAGAAUAAGGUCCAUGGUUCGAGGAAUCAUAAAGUAUCGGCUUUGAAGAGGAAAACAGAAGAACGCACUCAAUCCUCCUCCCUUUCCCAUGCUUCACGAGUGCAUAAAAUACGCCUGUGAGGGUCGACGUUCACCAUGACAGAUUGAACAGUGCCCCCAGAGAUUUGGAGGGUAAUAUCACUCACAUAUUCAAGGGGUUCAGGUGAAGCGGUACACCAAUCACGGGGAGCGGAAAAGUCUUCGACCUCAAAGUCAUCUCUAGAAGUGGAAAAGUCUUCGACCACAAAGUCAUCUCUAGAAGUAAAGGUGAGGGCAAGGGCAUUGGAAAUGGAGAAGCCCUUUAUAUAAGCUUGUAUAGGCCAUGCUGCAUAACAAGCAACCUCUGAAGCGGGAGAUGCGGUAUCCAGCGUGAUGUCCUCCUCCGAACAAGCAUCUAGACAGCUAUAGCAUUGAUCCAGCUCGGGAGAACAGAGGAUACCCAACACAAAGGGUCGCCACUGCCUAGAUCAGCUAUUGAACAGUGUCCAUUUGAGAAAAGCUUCCUUAUCUUGUUCUGCGCGGAGCUGCUCCCGUGACUUUCCAGAAAGGGACUCAAGCAAAUUCAGUGAAGGAAAAGCAUUCAUCCUUCAGGGGUAGGCAACAAGAAUCGGAUCUUUGUGUGUGUACCUGAGCCGUAUGUAAUUGAGCAUUGAAGUUGAUAUGUUCAUGUAAUAUGUGCCGAUGCCUCUCCACUUGCUGAGUAACAACUAUUUGGAUCUUAAGUUCAUCAGAGAUUUUGAGAAAACCGAGAUCACCCUGCACGAGAAGAUUUUCCACGAGUUCACCAGCUAGCUUAUGAUACGCGGGGUCCCUAGUUGACUUCCAUUUCUUUAUGUCAUUCCACUUUUGAUGGGUAAGUUGCGUAGGGAAGAGAUGUAUCUCAGCUUGCAAUUCAUUAGAUUUUAUAUUCAUGAGUUUAGCAUUAUUCCAUAACACAUUCUUAUGCUGCAAACGCCUAUGGAUGCAGCCCCAAAGUGUAGAAAUUCAUCUAUCUUCUCUGAGCUGUGGGAGCCUACUAUGGAAUUUCAAGCGCAUAAAUCUUUCAUGAAAAGGUCCUUGCUCUCUGAAACUGCGGACAGGGUUGCUCAUUAUUGUGACGACAGAGACGUUCUUCCUCUUAUUGAAAAGUCGACCAUCCUUGGUAUCCAACCAGCACUGCUGCCCAUCGAGGACACGCAAUAGGGUGUUAUUUGUAGAAGACAUUAAGCCAUGACCAACAUCAGAGCUCACAGAAGAGUCCUCGACCAAAUGGAACUCAUCGAAUAACCAAAGAUCAUAAUGGUCGUGCGCACCCGUAAAAUCAUUAGAGAACACAGCCCAAAAGCAAAGCCGAAAGCCAACAAAAGAAAGAAAGCAAUUAUAUCUAAAGAAAGCCCUCCAACUGAAGAAAUAGCUGCGAAUGCAAGCGGAACUGCCUUACUGUCCUCGGAGGGUUAAUCAAUAGGAAUAGGCUAUGAAUGCCCAGCCCAAUAUGACACGGGUCUUUUGCUUUUAUGUUUUCUCAUCUAUAGAAUCCGCUGUUCUCGAACGGAACACUCGCUAACGUUUAGGCUCUGAACAAAACUCCUUACGCUAGAAAACGAUUGGAAAGAGUGCCCCCCCCUCUAUCGAUCAAAUCCAAAGGGGAAAGGAACCUGACGCAAUUCCUGAGAACUAUGACUAAGCAUGGCAUGCCUCUAAAGAUCGCUUCUUCUAAGAAUGGAUAUCCCUUGCCCUGGCUUGAUUACGAAGAGGAGGCUGUCUCAUCUCAUGGGAGAGUCGAAGCCCUACGGCUAGGACGUAAGCCAGCCGGAAACCUACAAAUCUACUUUAGCAUUUAUGUGCCACAACUUGAUGGGUGGACGGAGAUCCAAAAUAUUCUCUGUCAACGGAUUCGAGUACUUGAUUAUUGCAUACGUAAGAAAAUGUCACGUAUAGACAAGAAGCAAUGCGGAGUAUGGACAAGAAGCAAUGCAGAGUAUAGACUAUUGGAUUGCCCCCCCAGGCCACUUAUUUCUAUUUAUUUUAUCUGAUUGGAAAAUGCAUAAUUGGAUCUGAUUGGAAAAUGCAUCGAAUUGCAUACAGCAUACAUACGUAUGAAAUGAAAACACACCUUCCCCAGCGGUGCCAUCAAUGAGAAUCGAAGCGAAGCAAGCACAGCCCCAUUGCCAAGUCUUCCUCAAAUCAAGCUUCCUCUCUGUAUAAAGUCAACAAUCUUUCUCUUUUCUCUUUGAGUUUGGUAGAAUCUUAUUCAUUUCUUUCAGUGGUAUUCGAAUGAUAGGGGUAUUUCAAUAGAAUUCCCAUCAAAGAGGAAUCCGUGUCCUAGAUCACUGAUAUGACGGUAACCUUAAGUUUCUGCAAGGGAUAAGGAAGAAAGGGAUAGAUUCAAUUGAUAGGCUCGUGCAAUCUAUAGUCUAGAUUCCAUUCUCUCGAUCCACUCUCAUUUAUCUAUGUCAUUUCCAGAAUUUCUCUAUGUCAUUUCAAGAUACGAAAGACGAAAUAGAAUGUUGGUAUUGGGCCAUAUCAAGCGGAACUGAGUAUUCUAUUAGACUAGAAGAUUGCCUGAUUCUGCAGGAUAGAAAAAGAGUUUCAGGAAGGUCACUUCUCUAAGUCCGGCCACCACAAAGCAAUGCCAUUCAGAUGGUAACAGGAGAAGACCCGGGCUGUUUCCUUAGGAGCCUGGUUUAGGAAAGUGAAAAGGGGCUACAAAAGGAAAUACCUAAAUAACUCUGGGAAAUAGUCAUCUCCAAAAAUACCAAAAUGCUUUUGAAGAAAUUGGCCGCCAUGCCCGACAUCAAGUGGAAGAGUAAACAUUCCUCUUUAUACAAGACAAGAGACCUUGUGGCCCUAAGGUAUCUAACUACCUCCUCUUCCUGUUCUAUUGAUCAAAAGCAUCCCGCAGCGCCAUGCCUUAUUUCAUAAGUAGACACUUCCCUGAUCCCCACGACCAUGGAGAAUAUGGGAGCACCGCAAGCCUAAGAAUGUUUCCCCCCCUUAAUCCUUGCUGCCUCUGUAAGAGUGGGCCUCUUCUCAUGAUUUGGGUGAACACUGUCAAGUCCCACCAUAAGCAUCCUACGCAUCUCCACUGCAUGAAACGUCCCUUUCCACUUUGGAUCAACUGCCUAAAUAUGUUGACCUCUAUCUCUUUAGCUCCAUACCUAAUAAACAAGCACCGUACCAGCAUCAUCGACAGGCCUUUUCCGUCUAGCUACCUCUAGCACCACUACACCGAAGCUGUCAACAUCUGUUUGAUGUGAUAGAAGACCAGAAUCUACAUAUUAUUGAGCAAAGCAAGAUAUCCCAUUGUCCCAGCGGGUAUUCUAGAUUCUCUGGUCAUAGAACUAUCUGAACUAGAUGCAACUCAAAAGAAAGCUCCCACUCCAUUUGUUCCUACUCCAACUCAGGAAUUCGAAUAGAAUCUUUCGUACCGAGCACGUGGUAUAGAUCUUUGGAAAACCAUACCUUCCCUUCAUUCUUCAACGGAAACGGACCCCGAGUCAAACAGCCGUAAAACAAUUCUUUCUUGAACAACUUCCUUACGCGGUAAACUCGCUGACGCAAAACUAGCCUUAGCACAAAGUCUUGCUUCUACUUAUGAUCUUUAUAUCUCUCCGGAAUCUGAUGCUUCUUUCUCUUGUCGACUCCACUUUCCCGUAUUCUUCUCCUUUAUCUGAAACGAGAACUCUACUUUAAGACGAAAACUCCAGAGAUGAGCAUUCCUUUAGAUGAGAUUACUUCUUUCGCACCCUGAACUAAGGUAAGGAGUAUCAUAUAGUAAAGUAUGCGCCCAUGGAAAAGAAUGGAAUUGAGUGCACCACUGCUUUCAAAGUCAACCGAGCAAGCAAGCGUAGAACACGAAAAACGGAAAGGAAGCAAUACUAUGUUGAGUUUUGUAUAUAUAAUAUAUUAUCCUAUAAGUUUGUGAGAUUCUAUUCUUUGUUCUCCUAUAUUAGUUAGAUUCUAUUCUUUGAUUACAGGCCAGUAUCGCCCUACGGGUUUAGCGGCGCAUAUAGCUCUAAAGUGCAUUCGGCUAACGGAGCGCUGUAGAUGAAAAGUCAGGAAAGGCAGCUGUGAGAGCUGUUUUCAAGAGAAGAAUGCCCAGAUGAAGCAUAAGCUGUGCGAAACUAAGGUGUUGUCGAUGAGAAUGAAUCAGCGGAAUAAGGAUCUAGAUCCGUAUAUGAGGCAAGAUCAGAAGUGGCAAGCUGUUCGGUUGAAAGGGGAGUUGUUAAGUGGCCGUUGAGUAAACUCAUUCCAUUCCAUUCUGAAGUCGUUGCUUGGCGAGUGGAGUCUAGGAGUACGAGUAGUCGCUUGGCGGGCUCUUAGUGUGUGAGCUUGAAUAUAGGUACGAAAGUUGUCGUAGAGAGUCUUUCCCGACUUGUAGUUAAGGGUAGUGAGUCGUCAAUUAAAGCGCUAAGUAUAAGUUGUAUGAAAGAAGGGCUUUGAAGCGCUAAUUAGUAUGAGGGAAGGGCUUUUUCAGCACAGUAACUACUUUCAUUGACUACGAGUGUCGGGUGCGAGUGCUAAGUUUCAGUGUAGAAUUGCCCUAUUGCCUAAAGCAGAAAGAAUGGAAUGUUAGUGCAAAAGAGAAUCGAAUUGAGAAGCACCCUGCUUUCUACUGCUUGAGCAACGUUGAAUUAAUCAGAAAAGAACUGAACGACAACUGGACAUCUAAUAUAAGAAGAGAGGAACGAAACAGCUGACUAUAUAAGAUAAGAGAAGAGCAAAACGACUUACUAGAUUCUCUAACUGCUGAUGAAAAUACAAAUGACUUACUAUACACUCUACUCUGUCUUACGAACCCUAUAUACUCUACUCUGUCUUACGAACCCUAUACUAAUUGACUUGAUUCUUGCCUAAAGCUAGCGACAUUGCUUGUUUGCUUGUUCCCCGAAACAAUAAGUGGAUUUGCUUGUUCCCCGAAAGUAAGCUGUAAGCAUUAGAAAAGUCAGCUGUAAGCAUUAGCACGUUGCUUGUUCCUAAGUGCCUUAGUCGUUAGUGAUUGAGUUAUAUUAUAUGGUUUUCAAGCGCAAAGUAAUAAAAGAGAAAGUCAGAAAGGAAUUGAAAGCAUAACUACAAGCAUAACUUUAGUGCUACACUUCACUCUACCACUGCUUUGCUAAUCAAACUCAUAUCAUGGGCACACCCCGAACUAUAGAAUAGAAUUGAUGGAACUCCACGACCGAUGUCAAUAGGAACAGGCAAUUCUUAUGCUGACUUAGCUUAGCGCUUGCUGGUUCAUUUGCCAGGUAGUAAUCCUAAGAGCUAGAAUGGAGUGUCUACACCUAUAAUAAAGGAGAGUCAAAGCUAAUUGAGUGCACCUAAACCUUGUAAGCUAAUUGAGUGCAACUACACCUAUAAUUAAGUAAAGUAAGCUAACUCAUAACUUGCUUCUUGUUCCGGCAAACGCCUCUAACGCGCACCUUUCCUUUCAAACAAAAUCCAAUAGGCUCUUAGCACCUUUAAAUCCAAUAGGCUCUUAGCACCUUCCUUUCGCCCAAAGCAUACCGAACUCGACUUUGAUAACCGCAAACUCGAACUUCCAUUCAGGAAGACAAUCAGAUCAGGCAAUUAUGGAGUCGACAACACAAGAACUGAAAGAUAGACUCUACACAAGUCAAUAACUCCAUGAAACCACUCUUUUGGCUACUCACUUAUUGAAGACCCAAGAAUAGAUUAUUCCCCGACCUAUACAAGAAUAGCAGCUAACUAUAGAACUGAACAAGAUCCUUACCGAAGAGUCCAGUUAGCUAUCCCAUCUUGCUUCGCCACUUAUGCUAGCCGAGAGAAAGGUCUAUGAAAGCAGUAUUUACUUCCGGAGAAACACCCUUAUUCUUUCCUUGACUAAAGCAGGGUUCAAUCUAUCCUUCCUCCAGCUCCGCUCUGGUUAGCACGGAAAAGCUGGAAUGGAAAAUGUAUUUCCUCUCUGUUUCCUUCCGUGUCGUUCCGGUGUCUUUUGAUUCUUCAUUCUCAACAGGAAUGCAUCAAAAUAAGUUCCCGCUACUGCCUUGACCCAUCCUCUUUGAUUCUGAUUGUGGGGCAUGAAAUAUAAUGUAUGGACCAAUGUGAAUAUAUGUAUAUCGGCUAAUGGUAUGCUAUUUCCUAUUUGAGAAUUUCGAUCCAGUAUUUCGUAUCUUAUAAGCGCUGGGGGGCGUGGCCAAGAAGCAGUUCCCCCUUACCCCCUUAAACUCGGCCGUUCUUCGCUGUGGGAACAAGGUCUUAGUAUGUAUGGGCAUUCUGGGCGCAAUAAGUAGCAGGUCGAAGGGUUAGACCAAUCGCAAUUCAUCACCAUCUUGCCCGCUUCCUAUUGAUCACUGGCUAUUAUAUAAGUGUUGACCAUCACUGGCUAUAAUAUAAGUGUUUACCUAAGCCCCUGUGUUGUGGCUCGCGAACCGUAGCUGCCUCGUACGGCUCUUCCGUCGAACUCCCUUCUCUCUUUAUAGAUAUUCUUUUGAUUUACAUGACAAAAAACACUUUGAAAAAAGCCUUCGCCCUCCUCACGGGGCUAUUCGAAAAGCUGCUUCGUUCCUUUACUUCUUUGCUCAGUCAAGCUUACUUGUUCCUUAGUGUAGUCUCUCCAUAGUUGAAGACUCAGUUCCUUAUAGCCGAGUCUAUAUCCACAGCUGACGCAAGCAACUCUGUACCGACGCCUUUCCCUUUGUAGACGGCUAAGUGACUUCGUAACCUGAACGUAUUUUCUUUCUUACUGUUAGCUUCGUCGGGCUUUCGUCGGCUAUAGGCUAGGCUUGGUUUCUAGUAAGCUCAUGACGAGUAAGUGUAGUCGUCGGCCUUCCCACCAGAAUGCCUCCUUCCUGACUUUGAUGAUAAGCCCUUUCCGAUUAUAAAGGACUUGGGGCUGUUAACCUUUGGAAACUUAGUGACUUUAAGUACUAAACGGUAUUCUGUUGUAAAGCUACUUAAUAGAAAUAGUACAACAACUGUCGUACUACUCAAAUCCCAAGCCAAGGAAACACCCUCCCUUCGGUUCCCUUUGUUUGAAUAAACGCCGCCUAUUUGAGUUGACAUUGAUGACAAAGUCCACCAAGCCUAACUGGUCACGACAUGUUGUUGAUAUUGAUUGAGGAGUUUUAUAGACUUUAGCUGACGGAAUCCAUAAACCUAGAAAGUCACCGUCACAGGUACUUUUUGACUCUAUGGGUAGGUUUCGGUGGGGCUUUAUACAGUUCAGAAUCAUAAUACGAAGCAAGAUCUUGAAAGUAUAUCGGGCGACGACAAGGAAUCCCAUAUGGAGUUUUGAAAGGAAAAAGGUGAAGGCUAAAGUAAGGUAAUCUGAAUUCAAUGAUGUUCUUGAAAAAGGGAAUGUUAGAAAGGGUUAACUCGCGACUUGCAUUAUAUGUAUUGCUUGUUUGUUGCUUGUUUGCCUUGUUCUCUAAACAGGAAGAAAAGAAUAUGAGUGCAACACAUGAUAGAAGAUUGAAAGUCAUCUCACUGCUUAUUCACAAACUCCACUUCCUGUUUAAGAUUGGAAUAGAGGAGCCCUUAGGAGCCAGGAGAGUUUUGGCCGACCCUUAAUAAGGCUUAAAGGCUGCGCGCUUUCUGCUCUUAAUUCCGUAUGCAAGGCUAGAGUAAGAUGCUGUUAGGUUACUUAUUUAUUGGAUAUGAAAUGUCCCCUGGUAGGUUCAACCGGCAAACGGGGAUUCAGACACAAAUAUAGAUAUACGACAGUGGUCCCUAUUGCUUAUUGGUUAGGAGUGGGGACUGUUGCUAUUGUCCUAUUGCUAUUGGUUAGGGUGUCGACUAAAUGUUCUAAAUGAUAUGAAUUGUUCCUCAAGCCUUAUAUGUAGUAGUUGUAGUAUAUAUGAGGUAGUGGUUGUAUAUAGUAUAGUAUAUGAGGGUGCGCCCAUAGCUGGGAAGUCAAGAAGCUCGUCUAUAUAUGGGACUAUUGGUAAUCUCAGUAUAUAAGAAAGUAGCUAACAGUCCGCUUAGUAUCGUCUAUAUAUGGGACUAUUGGUAAUCAUAGUAUAUAAGAAGAAUUCUAUAGUGGAUUUCCAAAAUGCAUAACCGGCAAGCGUAUACUUGUAUGCCGCGGGUGCUGACGCUUAUCGGUUAGGGAGUUUAGCAAGGAAACGAAGCUAUGCUAUGGUUGGUUACCUUAAUCAAUAUAGCUGUUGUGCAAGAGAGAGAAAAUCCUUUAAUGUAGACUAUGUGGACUAGAUGAAAUGAUAUUCCAUUCAAAUCUUAGAUGCAAUGUUCACUAUAUUAACAAUCUUCAGGAAUAAGGUAACUUUUCAUUAUAGAUGUAAGCUGCGGCGCAGUAAUCAGUGUUCUCUUACUUCUUUCUAUAAUAGGUGCAUGCACUAUCCAAUAUUCUUUUGCACUAGAUUCUAUUCAACGCCUCCGGGGUGCCUCAAUUCGUGAUUCAAGUAAACUGUGAGGAAGCUGUGAAGAUACUGACUUGUGCUUACGGUGCUAACACGAGUGAAAGUGAAGGGAAGAGAGAGUCUGGCCCCGGCCCCUAGGACCAAAGAAUUCCGCUUGAGAAUAAGGUACUAACUCAUCGGAGUCGGACUUAUGAUUCGCACACGGAUCCUGCGCAGCUAAACCUAUCCUUUUUGCGGUUCCUGUUCGAAAGUUGUCUACGAUAGAAGAUCUUUGAUCACUCAUGCCGUAGUAACUGAUAACGCACUUUGCUUAUGGAGUCGCAGGGCGCUUACGCUAGUUCCAGUUUUCUCCGGGGUUUGUUUCAAUUGAUUGAUACCUUACUUUCGAUUCCACUUUAUGCUACUUUACUUGCAUGAACAAUAAGUCUGGCCAGUGUUCAUUACUAUACUGCACUAGCCCCAGUUUACACUAAGACCCAUAAAGCGAGCGCACAACAGAACAUUUCAUUGCUUUUGUUUCAUGCACAUAAGAGAGAAAUUCUGAAUCUCACUCCUGACUCCUACCUUAAAGUAUCAAUUAUUCCAAGAACGGGGCUUCCUUUAAGUUGAAGUGUUAGAAUGGAUGCACCCAAAGAGAUAUACGCAGCGCAAUAGAUACCUUACUCCGAACUCUAGUAACAAACUUGUUUUCAUUGAAUAGAGCACCUUGACGAAAUACUUAACUAAUCGCGAUAUACUUUACUUCGAGCAGUAGGCUGAGUAGGCCAGUAGAAUUCGAUUGAUUAUGUAACUCCGCAUGCUUACCAGUAGUUUUAACCAGAAGGAAGCAAUGCUCUGUUAGGUGAAACUUCUUCUCGACGCAGGAGAUUCGUGAACAAGCCCAUCGUUGAGCCUAGCAGUAGCGCACAUUUAUUACUCUUUUGGAAACUAUAAUGAGAGCUCGAACUCUGUCAAGGCCCAAUGAUCUGACUUAUGCGGUAGGAAAGCGGAAUGAAUCCCCGAUUCAGAGCAGAAGACCAGACCAAGGAAAGAUCGUAGUGGCAAAGUGCUAAUGCAUUUCAAACUUUCCUGGUGAGAAGAGGGAAUUAGGGCGGCUGUCAAAAGUGGACUGAAGUCGACUAUCGCUUCAAAGAGAAAGAGGUCCCCCGGUAAGAUGAAUCCAAAGCAGAGUGAUUAGAGCUUAGAGUUCACCCUUUCCCAACAGGCAAUUCCCGUUGCGUUGACACGGGCAUUCGAAAAGAGAUGAGCUUAUAUAUACGGUCGAACAUAAAGAGGCUCGUAUUCUUACAUUAUGAUACCUCGAGUGCAAGGGGAAGAGCUUCUGGAAGUUUAGUAAGGGCGUCGCAAAGAUGCUUGAGUUUCUGUAUUUGUUUGAUGCUAUGGUUUUCUCCUUUCGCUAAGCUGUAUUUGUUUGAUGCUAUAGUUUUCUCCUUUCAAUUAAAGUGCGCAGAACUCGCUAAGUAAGUAGGCCUAUGUCGAAAGGCCAUUAUGCCUCUUUCUUCUUUGACUUAUGUGUCUUCAAAUCCAAUAGGUUACAAUGAUUUAUCCCAUCAGUAAGUUAACAGCCGACCGAUCCACCACUGAGCUACAACCAGAACCGAAUCCCUACAAGCAAUAGCUUCUGGAACUUCAAAGAAACUACCCUUUAACAUAAAGUAAGCCAAGCAAAGCACGCAAUAGCCACUUAAGAAGGAAGGACAGAAAGAAUAGGAACAUCCAUAUCCCAAUUCCAUUAGAAAGACUCUAUUAGAAAGACUCUAUGGCAAAAUGUGCUAAAGCGAGUGACUUGUUUGCGCUAACGGGAGUUACGGAACUCACAUUCUAUUAUUUGGCAUGGCACACUCUUCUCUUUCUUUUCUGCUCGAAGUUAAGUAUAUCGCUGCUACCCUACUAUAUUUGCAAGUUCAAGAUAAGGACUAUUGACUGUUUCACUUCCGAUUGAGCUGACAGAUCUUUCGUUUCGUCCUUUUGCUGCAAUUGAAUUCUAUCUUCCAAGUAUCUAAUAGAGAGCAUCCUUUAAGUCAAGACAUAAGCUUGGAAUAUGUAUACACCUAAUGAAAGGUGGGUAAUAGAACGUUAGGUAUGGGGGUCCUAUUCCCUUUCUAGGAGUUCCUUCAUUGCUAGCAUAGUCCAAGCGAAUGAACUUCCCAUCUCAUAUUGAGGAGAUUCUAUACUGCCUGACAUUAGAAGAGUCGUAUGCCUAAGCUUAAAAGCGAAUGAGUGGCGAAAGCUCAAGUUAACCCUUGAUAGUCAGACUAGAAGUCGGUGAGUGGCACUACUGCAGGUAGCUUACGAAGUGCAAUACUUAUUCUUCUCACAAAUAAGAAAUACAUGGAAGUCGAGCAGAUGAUAAAGUGGCUUUGCACUUUUGUGUCUUUUCUUUUUCUUCGGAUGAUAUAAUAGGUAAAUUAUGAGUUUUAUGGGCUCCAACGGUGGCAGCUGCAGAAUCCGCUAUUUGGUUAGCCUCGUUAUAUUACUUUCUGAGUCCGAGGUACUAUAGCAGUAGAAUUGAUUAAUAGCAUUCAAGGUUCAAGAUUACUCCUAUAGAAUUCCCAAUAUACAAUGAUGUUCUCUCUUCUCUACUACUUACUUGUUGAGUGGAGUGCACCACUGCUUGAGGGUAAAGGUUAGGCAGCCCGGAUACGGAACUCGAUCUGAAACUGUGGCAACUUUCAAAGCCUUUACCUGAACUCUGCGGAAGAUCUAUAUGGAUGCAGCUGUAGAUUCCAAGUGGGUCAAAUAAGCUGUUGGGUGACUUUAGUCUUCUCUCAGUGAUACAAGAGCCGGCUAUUAAUCUAUUGCUUUAGGUGCAAAUCUCGACUUACUAUCUUGUUUGCAUUAAUAUAAAUAAACGUAAUAAGGAAAAGCGGAAUCAAUCCUUACUUACAGAAUGAGAACCCCAUUUGUACAAGACCACCCAGAGAAUCAAACUACCGAGUCAGGGCUAAGCAAGCACCUUUCCCAUACUCCACUUACUCAAAUGCUAGAAUAACAAGGAUCCUGUGCUACCUAAUAUAACUGCUUAUGGUUAACUCUACUCUACCUACUUAUCGGGUCUUCAAUGAGAAAUGAGUUAUAAGAUGCAUUAACCGCGCUGUCCUCCUCGGUAAAGCAAGUAAUAAGGUGUCUUGAUUGAGUCUUGUUGUCCCUGGACCUGUCCUGUCUUCAUCAUUUCCUUACUAUUUAGAUUGUUGGCGCAUAGUGAACAUUCAAUUAUGACUUAUUGCACACAACCCCGCUCCUUAGUCUUACUUAGAGUCAACUCAUUCACUUGAAACUGUGACUUCCGGAUAACAGGAUAUCCGCCUCUAAUCUUUCCGGUUCUCUUUAGAGUUCUGUUGCUGGUUCCCCUGUUGGUUUAAUUGAAUCGCAACUGGACUGGACUUUACCACCUUUGGCAAAUUCCUUUAGUACAACCUUACUUGUGUUUCGCAAGUCAACAAGAAGAAUCAGUUUCCUAAUAAGUGUGAAAUGAUUCGAUUAAAGAAAUAUCUGUUAUUUUGGAAAGCUAUGCUAUAGUUGGUUACUGAUCCCUAUAUAAGGGUGCAGUCAAUUCCAGAAAAGGCCUACUAGCCCGUAUGUAUCGUCAAUAAAAGGUCCGUAUCGUCCUAUAGCUCGUAUCGUCCUACAGCUCCCCUACUAUAUUGCAAAUCCAAGUAAAGUAUCAAAAAGUCCAGCUCGACACGACAACUAGGAUAAAGCCAAGUGAGAGGACUGGGCGCUAAAGAACCAAUCACUGAUAUUGCAGAAAGAAAAGACAUUGGCCCUUACCUUAAACCGAAAGAAAUAGACUUAUUACCAAACCACAAAGAUAUGUAUGAAACUGGGGCAAACUUAUCUCGCCGCUCUGAUCUGACCGCUCUGUUGUGGUAGGCUUUACCUUUGCUUGUGUUGACGCCACUGAUGCAUUUGUUCUUGCUCUAACUCGACUCUCCUAUGGAGUGGAAAACAUAGAGGAUCCCGCUAAUGAUACUGUUUCUUAUCUCCUAAUAACGACCCUGGUAUAUAAACAAGUAAAGAAAGACCCAGCCAGCUCCAGUAUAUAAACAAGUAAAGAAAGACCGCUUCUACAGAUCUUAGCUUUAUUGUGGUUAUGCGCCUCGCAACAAAGCCUAUACUUUAUUAUGUCCGAACAAGACCUAGAGCUAUAUAGCACCGACAAGCCAAUCCCUUUUCAACAAGAAGAACUAAGGCUUUCGAACACCCGUAACAAUAACUAAGCCCCUUAUACUCCAACCUGCACUAUAAGGCCGGAAGAGUUGAAAAAGGCGACAAGCAACUAGUGCUUUUUGGGGGGGGUAAACUCCAAUUCUAAGAUUUCUGGAAUAUUCCCUUCUCUAUAGCCUUCCUUAUCCCAUUUGCUUGCCUGUUCUGUGCGUUACUCAAUUCCCUCUUUAGCGCAUUGAAAUAAGUAUCCACUUUGGGGGUGCGAGUUCAGUAUAGUUCAGGGACAGAGGCUCUCUACUUAAGUAUCAGUACCACCGCGCUCAGAAGAGUCAGGGUGUUGAGUUACCUAUGUUUCUAUUCUAUAAGACGAGCAUCAUCAUAUUGGCAGGCGAACCCUAUGCACCUGAUUAAAGGACAGAGACACCGCUAUCCCUAACUUUAUUAACUCACGUUAGCCCUUGCUUCUGCUUUCACUAUAAGAGCAACUGAUUUUAGUGCACAAUUAAUGGAUAAUGGGUAUAACCUAACCUCAAUUAAUAGAUAAGAAAUAGGUCAGACAAAACUUCAUAAUGUAGGUAAUACAACACUUCACUGUCAAAUCCUCCCUCCAUGGAAGGUCGUUUUCAACCUUAAGCUUCAGUUAAUGCUUUAGAAGUUUUCAAGUUUCCAGUUAAAGCUUGGCGAGAAAGAGCCCUAGGGUGGUUGGAAACUCUAUCUAUAUCUUUAGGCUAAUCAUCUGUAAUCCUCGCCUAAUCUUGCUCGCUCCUACUCUCAAUCUAUCGGUGAUUGUCUUUCUCUUUGCUUUGAGUCAGAUUUCCAUUCCAGUUCUUUUAUGUUGCGCUAACGGGAGCUGCGCUCAAUAGAUUUCAUUUUGCAAUUCUACGAUUAUAUGAUGCGUUGAUAGACAGAGAGACUAAGUAUGCGCUAAUAGAAAGAAAGACUAAGUAAUAUGAAUUGAAAUCUGAAUGACUUACUUCAUAGCUCAAAUCUCUUCCUGGUUUCCUAGGUGCUUACAGAGUUCUCAGUCAGAUCUUAUGCUUUUGUUUCUGCGCCCAUAUUUGUUGCUUCAAGCACAAGAAAGAUUACAGUUUGUUUGCAAGAUCAGUUCUUGGCUCUAAGUAAGGAGUAAGCUAAGCAGUUAUAAGUAUAAAGCAGUUGGCGCAGCUACAAGCAUUAUAAGAUAUAGAAAAGGAGUUAAUAAGAAUCAUCAGAUUGAGCUGGGUAGAGUCGUAAUGAUUGAAGAAAAGGAUAGAGCCUCGAGAGUCAAAUUCCAAUUCCAGAGUAGCACGUUAAGAUCCUGAGUUGCGCGUUUAGAAAGAGUGCUUUGUUCAAUUCCUUAGAUUAUAGGUAUAGGCGAUAAAAGAACAAAACUAUACUAUGGCAGUUCCUGUUAGAUUCCAUUCAACAAGGCGAUGCGCAAGACAAGAGAGAGGGUAGCCAAAAACAACUGACUGGACUUCACGACUCGGAAUAGACGACUUCUGGCCCUAAAACGAUUCUUAUUGCCUUCUGCAGCGCGUUGUCCUGAUUGUCCUUCCGUUAUUGUUUCAUCAUAUAAAUCAUAUAGAGAGGUUCGGCGCGGUGCUUGUGUUGUAAGGGGAGAAGAAGCAGUUCAAAAGAUCAGGUCAACAGCAAGUGAAGCUUUCGAAUAGUUCGAAUAGACUGUUUCGAGUUUCAAGAGCGAGAUCGGGAUCUUAAGAAGAAAUGGAUUCUUAAGCCUUGUUUUCUUAAGUUCUUGCGAGUUUUCUUGCAUGUUUAAGAAUAUAUUGCACUGGCAUUGAUUGUAUAGAACCUUGAACCAGGAGAAGGUAGUAGAGGAUAGGACACUCUUUAGCCCAGAUCAUCAGCAGGUGAGGAAGCAUGAGAUAGUACUGGCUUUGAAGCUCUAAGUGGAUAAUUGACUGUUGGGAGUUGAGGCAUUGUCAGAAGCUAGAUCAGCUGCAAUAGAAGAAUCCGUUUUUCGGGUUACCCCACUCCAAUAGCGCAUUAAGAGAAAUCAAAAGUCACAAACACCCUAGGGCUAGUUAUCCUUCUAGCCUACCAUGUGCUCCGUCAGAAUGAAACUAACAGUUACUAUAUUGAAAGUUGUGUACUAAACUAAGAAAAGGAGUUGUAUUGAAAGUAGUCUAUUAAGAAUAGGAGUUGUGUAAGGAAAGGAGAGUUUGGAAGUAACGCAAAAGGGAUGCCAAGUCAAAGUGCAAAUAAAGUCCAGUGAGUCAACAUAUAGUAUAUUUGGGGAAUUCUAAGUCAUUUUCUUCUUUUAUUAAUGUACUUAUUCUUAGUUGUAUUUAUUAACAACACUGCAACAAGCAAUUCUAUCUAAAGAAGAGAAUUGAGUGUUACCCAUAUAGAUUGAAGUAACAACACAGCACAGCUUACUCUAAAUCACCACUAACAAGCAACAGCGCUAAGCAAACAAAGUCCAGCCAGUAUCCGUAAUAAACAAGCAACGACAUUCUAUACUAUAAUAAUAGAGUAAUCUCACUGCAACAAAAGUGCUUACGUGAGUUCGCUAAUAAUAAACUACUCUCAUUUCAGGUCAAUGUACCGUCCGGUGAUCUCUAGGGUCGGGCCAGCCCUGAGUUAGGAGUUUUGCUUUCGUUGUUAAUACUUUGUAAGUUAAGGUCUCGCUCGCUUAAUUGAUGCUUUUCCUGUAUACUAGGUCCAUUGAAGUAGAGAACUCGCAAGGUCAGCGUGAGCUUAUUGGAUUGGAGUUUCUGAAUUAGGUUAGACUCCUAAACUAUAGCAUGUGCUCUAUAGAUUCAAUUCUGACAAGCAAGGGAAUAAGUCGGGGUUAGUAACAUUAACCGGAGUUCGAGCAAAUAUCUCUUUGUAAGUCACCCCUAACGCUAUAAUAAUGGUAAGUGACCCCUACUAACGCUAUAAUAACUCCUAACUAUAGGUUGUGAGCUUUCGAGUUGAACAGCGAGGUUACUUCAAAUAGUGAGUUUCGAAUAUUGUUACCCUACAUUACAUUCUUAGGGGAUUCCAUGAAACAAGCUUGCUCGUUCCGCACACGCGCGUUAGUUAGUAAGAGUUCUUUGAAUAGAAUUGAGUUCACCCUAAACACUAUACACGCUAUAACUAUAGGACAGAGGCAUAUGCACCUAAAUACUCGUUUUACGUCUUUUAGACGCCUGGCUCCUUUCAAGGGUAGAUCGAAAGCAAGGAUAGAAAGUGUAGUAGCUACCCUCAAUUCUCAAAGUGGUUGUGUGUUAAUUAGUUUUGGAAGCAAUGCUUUGUGAAGUGACUUAAGUAUAUCCCAUAAUACAGAUGCUAGGUAAGGUAGAUGAUUUGAAACAAGCAAAUAGAGAGUCUAAUAUCAUACAUAUGCCAGGUAGCAAGUGGGAAGUCGACAAGAGAAUGCCUAGUUCCAAAGUCAGUUGUAAGCGAAGCGGGAAAGAAAUCAGUAUCAAUAAAGUGAUCUAUAAGCUCGUGGAUGAUUUGAAACAAGGUAAAGAGAAAGGCUUUAGUUCAACAAGCAAGGGAACAGCGUAAACAUGUUGUAUAGGUGCAGAAGCAAAACAGUGUUGUUCAUCAUAUUUAUAUAUGUAUAGAUUGCAACAUUCUUUGAAAAGCCUCCCUCCCCUUCCUUGCCUUGUGGGGUAGCUUACUUAUUGUUGCGUUGCGCUAAUGCUUCUUGUUGUUGCGGGAUGCUAACCUUACAACCAUCAUAGGUGUUCUGGCGAGUAGCUGUUCCAGCGACUGGGAAAGCACGGAUAAAGUAAACAAGUUGGUUUUUGCCCUAGAAGCUCGAGUAGGAAGAGAUCAUAAGUUAGGUUUCAACAAGUAUGAAGGUGAACUCUAUACGCAUAUCAAAAGAGAUGUUAACUCUAUACGCUUUGAGUUGGAAAAACUGUCUACACAACAAUAAGAUUACAUCUAAUCCUUCCUUUGAAAAUGGGGUGCUCAUACGCUUGCUUUGAGUUGGAAACUAUCCACAACAAUAAGUCAGAGAUUUUCCUUAGAAUCCUUUGAAAUAGGAUGCUUGCUGACUGGGGGAAAGAGCUUAACGAAAGGGUGUUGAAGCGAACACGCUUGGCAUACAAAGGCAGCUCCUAUAAGGAUUUACUACCUGGUGAGAGAACUACACUACCGCACUGAAAGAGUGUAGCGGCACUGACGCGCUCCACUUUUUCUCUAUUUGAUUGAACGUAUAGAUCUGUUGUGCCGAUGUUGAGUCAACUUCCCUAUUAUGACUUUUACUGCCAGGCAAGCUUGAUUCAAGCCCCCCCACUGGGUGAUUCAUAUUCUAUUGUUUCAUUGUGAUUGGUGCAAACCUGUUUCUCGCUUCACGAUAAGAGCUAUGGUGCCGAUGUUGAUUCCCAUGUUUAUUGUUUCUUUCUUAUCUUAGUGCUCGUUAAGUUAAUUAAUGAUUGUAUUUGGGUAAGCUAAUUCAUUAUUGUAUUAUUAUAUGUAAGUGAAUGAACAAACAAGCAAAUCAAGUAAAAGGUAGAUGAAAGUGUAAGGUAGUGAGAAUGAGUUAAUGGAAAGUCAUACUGACAGGCAGGAAGGGCAAACACUGGCAAGCAACGGGCCAGGCCAAGUAAGGAUCGCUUCGGAGCAUACAAGGAUUCAACCAUAGCACACCAGCGAUGACUUUCAUUCAUGAAACUGUAGCACCGAACUCUGACUUGAACCUUGAUAUUAUGAUUAGUAUUUGUGGAAGGAAUUCUUACUGACUAACUUAGUAGUGAGUUCUUACUAAUGAAAGAGCUAGUUAGGAAUUGCAGAGAAUUGUUUCUUUCUUAGUUACUCCCACAGAGUUCUCCUCUCUAUGCUAUAAGAGAAAACUUAUACGAUUGAUGGGUGUAAUCCGUGCCAACAACCAACUACCACCUAAUAUGCCAACAACCAACUACCACCGCACUAAAGAAUGGCUUCGACACUAAACAUUUAGAUACGCUGACGCUUCUUAGCAUGAAAUUAUGAAAGAGAGAUGUGCCUAAAGGAGAGAUGUUCGCAAUUACUACCACCGACCCCCCAACCAUAUCCUUUAGAAAAAGGGGCCCGGCCCGUAGCUUCGCAAUUGAAUGUCUGCCUUCUUUUCUGAGGCUUCCAAUGGAACUCCCGGUGUUACUUUCCUCUACUUUCUUUCUUUCUUGGAAUCGAAGUUUCCGUCGUAGAAGCUGUGAUUGCCGAUGCAGUGCCAUUAGUGCUUUUGAUUGCGUGUCGCUGGUAUGAAGACGAAGGCGAACGUAAGGGAAUUCACUCCAAGCAGGGUAAGUACAAGGAUAACCUUUCUCAGUUGCGUCGAAAGAGUCUCCGUUGUAUGUUUCAGCCUAUCUGCUCUGCUUUAGCAGUGUGAGCAAUAUACGCUCUUUUUUUUGUAUAAGCUCGUCGGGUUCCUUAUAGAAAGUAACAUACUUCAUGGACGAGUCCGAACUCUCUUUCCCUUUUGCUGGUGUCAGGUGCAUAUGCUUUGAUUGCUUAUAAAUUGAAGCUAUUUCAUGGACGUCGAAUGAAGAUAAGUGGGAUCUCGCUAAAUGGAGUCGACCUCUAUCUUUGCUUUUGUCUGCUUUCAAAGUAAGGCACUAGGAGAAAGACCCCUAAUAGGAUUGAGGUACAAGGCACGUCACGUAAUAAACUGUGAUCUAAGAAGCUGUUUUGAGCAAGUACUUAUUUUGGAAGUAACUGAAACGGACUUUAUCUCCCUGAGGUCCUCGAAGAGAAGAAGGCUUACUCAAGAUAGCAAAUUACAUAUAGGCGGAGAAUGCUAUGGUUCUUGUUCAACCGUUGUAAGACUAGCAAUGGAAUUCCGAACCACUGGUUGCAAACCUCCACUGUUGACUCUUGUUAUAUUGAAAGUAAGUGUUGUCGUAUCCCUCGACCCUAUGCUAUUGUUUGUUUUUCCCUCGAGCAAGUAAAGUCAAACAAUUGACCUCAGACGUAACGAAUGGAAAAAGACUUCAAGAAGAUUGCCUAUCUUGAAACUGCUCAGAAGGAGGACCCUGCCUUUAAGAAAAGAGAGAGAGCCCGCGUUUGACAAAGUUCAGAAAGAGAAACUUCAUCCUCCCAUCCUGGUACCCUGGUCGACCUCUCCUGAUGUAUCUGUAAGUAAUGGAAGCAUCCAUGAGUUGUGUGCUUCGCUACCCUUAAGAGAGAGAGCCUUCUAUCUUUUCUGGACGGACCUUUGUGGUGGAAUGUGAGAGUGAGCGUCCGGGGACCCGAUACCUGCUCUUCGGCGGAGAUCCUGCACUACGAACCUUUGUUCUACCCAGUGGGGUACAUACACACCUAUCGGGCUCAACGGUGAGGUUCGACUCUGGUCUCAUCGGACACCCACUGAAAGGCGGACAUGAAAUAACGAAGCGGGCAUAUCUAUGAGAUGAAGCAUACCCGAAUACAAGGCGGGACACACUCUAUUAAGUAAUAGUUUGGUAAACUCGGAACAUUGUAUGGAAACACUCUCUGUCAGAGACUUCAUCGAGGCUUUAUUAAACAAACCCCUAAACAAUACCCACCUUAAAUAAGGAGUAUUGCAUUGCUUUCAUCUGUGCAUUCAUUCUCUUUGGAUUCCCCGCCUUCCUGACUGAAAGACUUGCCUUAUUUUGCAUGGCUGCCUGCCAUCGCUUUGGCUUUGCUUAUCAACUUGAAACGAACCAGUCUCAUGACUAAGCUUAUCAACUUGAAACGAACCAGUCUCAUGACUAACGGAAGACCUCUGUUCUUGGUCCAGUCACUGCUAUCUUUAAUAAACCUACCGGACCUUCUUUUCCCGAUCGUUAAUCAUUCCUUCUGACUAUUCUGCCCACCCUACUAGCCUUUGUAACUACCCGUGGUCGUGUUAGUGGUCGCGGGGACUCCAUCCGUGGUGGUUGUGCUAUUCGUGGUUACUUUGGACGACUUCCAGAAUUCUUGACUUCUAGGCCCUACCCCGUCAUCCGACUUUGAUGGACCAAGCUAAAUUGGGGAGCAGUUAGGCCAUUCUGCUGUCUUCGUUACGAGUCCCAAACUGUUGACGACCAAGAGUGUAGCUGGCAUGCGGAUUACUCUGUCAUAUGAUUGAAACAGGUAUCCUGACCACUUACUAAUCAUAUUACUGGUGAUGCUCGUUCUAUGACUCAGAAGGAUGAAUAUGUUGGCAAUGAUCCUUUUAUGGGAAGGGAAUCGCUAAGACCAAUCAUUCCCUAGUCUAGCCGAGAUCCUAUUGCUAGCUGGGAUAUUCUAUUAUGGAAAUAUGGGAAUCAGAGGUCAUAUCGUAUAAGUAUAGUAAACAAUAAUUCCUUUAGUUCCAUUCGUUCGCUUUAAAGCACGAGCUGCGACAAAGAGAUCGAUUUUCUCUCUUGUACUAAUCGCCAAUCUCCAUUCAACUACCAGCAAUUAGAUCCAGUACUUCCAUUCCUUACGUGAACGGCCGCUUUCUUGGAACUCAUUCAUAGGCGCUUUAGUUCGACUUCUAACACUCGACUUCUAACACUCGAUUUAUUAUUAUUAUAGAUAAGAAACACUAGAUUUUGGAUUAUUAUAGAUAAGAAAUAUAACAAGCGUGCGAUACAAAGCAUCAACCUAAGGAAAAACCAAUUGAUUGACUAUUGAGUGCAACCCCGUAACUAGAUAGACUAUGGGUAGUUCAGGUGCUAGGAAAGUCUUAUAUCUCAUAUAUGGGUAGUUCAGGUGCUAGGAAAGUCAUAUAUCUCAUAUAAUAUAACGCAUGCCGAUGUUGCCACCGACAAACAACUUAUACAGUGAAAAGCUCCAAAUAGGCACACAGUCGAAGUUGGAAUCAAAUAGUAUACAAGCCCGCCCCUGAGAGCUAAGUUGGAAGAAUCCAUGUUUCCGUAUCCGAUGAUGCUAGCGCAAUAAGAAGAAUGGGUCAAGUGGGAAUUUCCUCGUUUCUGUUUCCGAAGUGGCGCCUUGUUUGAGGGUUGAGCACCUUCGAAGUAGAAGCACCUCCUUCCGACGCUAAGCUACAAAGGCACUCGAAGAAAGAAGUCGUGCAACCAACCUGCAUUCCCAUAGGGCUAUAGUUGUCAGCCACCUCUUACGCCUAUUCCCCCUAACGUGUCAACUCGUUGGGUGCUCUCCCGGUAGGACUCUGUUGCUGGUCUUUACGUUGGCUGAUUCAAAAAGGCAUCCUAGUAGCAGCUUGAAUUUAGUCAAAAACGAAUCACUAGCUUGCUCGCUCUAUCUUGCUUGAGAAAAGCCCGCAGCCCUUGCUUGCUCUUCUAGUCUACAUAGAGGGAUAGGUGCAAACUAGGGAAAGUCGUUUAGGUUCUUCUUGUAUUUCCCACUACUUUGUUAUUCCUUCAGCCUGAAUGAUCCGCCGGGUCUACGCGCUCUUUCUUUCUAUCGGACAGAGGGAAUGUCAUAAGGUUCUCACUGGUCGGAGAUUGGAGACAGGAUUGCCGAGAGAUGGAGGAGGUCUUCUAAAGAACAAGCACAGUCAGGUUAGAAGGAAUGCUUGAAAGCGGCUCAACUCCUAGUAGUCAAAAAGGAUAAGAUGACAAAAGGAAAGCAAAGCGAACCUCUGAUAUCGAUUGAUGAAAAAGAAUUGAUUGAGAAAGGAGCGCUAACGCCUACCUAUUAACGCCCGCACGGGCUUUCAUUACACCCAUGCCACCUAGGCGAGGCCUCAAUUGAAUAAAUCGUGAGUCAAAUGUGAUUUUACUUGACUUUCUUCUAUUCUAUAUAUUUGACUUGACUUUCUUCUAUUCUAUAUGUGUGCUAGAUUCUGUAGUUGAUCCAAAUUACUCCCUUCCUCUUUCUUAUACGGAACUGCCUAAACCUGCCCUCUCUUGUGAUCGUUAUAUUCUUAUUUCGUUCCUGUGCCUAUAAGACUUAUUAUUCUAUGAUUCUUAGAUUCUCGAGAUAGAUAUUAAUCUGACUUACCUUUACUCUCACUCGUGAUCUCAUUCUUUUCUUCGGGCUUAGAGGUGGUGGGCCUUCUCGGAGAUCCUUCCUGUUUAAGUACAGACCUUUGCCAAUAACUUCACUUUCAUCUCCUUAAGCUCACAACGAAGAGUUCCAUUCGAACAUUGUCUUUAUUAGAAGUUCGACUUCACUUCCAUCACCUGCGAGAGAGCGUUCUAACUAACUUGUUCCGGUAUUCAUAGUUCUAAUAGCUAGCGCUUCCUUACUUUUGCACUUCCAGAUAUGAAUAUGAAACGGAUUCCUACUUCGCCUGCUGCCAACUGCUUUCCUACUUGAAUCAAACUCGGGAGAUUCGAAGGUGCUGUAAGCGAUUAGAAUCAAGCUUAUUCAAAACAUGAAAUUGACUUAUACUAAGAAACUCGAACAAGAGUGAGAAAAUGCGUUUCGUAGCUGAUCACUUAGCCUUAUAUUCCUUAUUGUUCAUUCACUGCCUGAAACUACGAACAAGGAAAGGAGAACUACGGACAGGACUGCUCGAGGUAAAGAGACUGCCUUACUGGAUUGGCUCACCGGCGAGAUUCCUUAUCUAAGUAACUGGCUUUCUUCCUAAACGACUUAUGAGACUAGCAAGGCUUCGCUGUCCGCCCCUACUUCAUCUGUGCUUUGAACAUUGAUUUGACCUCCGCGUCCCUUACUUGACCAAGUAUGCCCCUCUUCCUUCGUCCCUGACCUUUAGCAACUAGAUUGAUCGUGAGAAAAGAAGUGGACUAGCUCACGUGGUACUAGAUAGGUAGUUUACUUCCAGCUGCUUUCAAGACAGGCCCCAACAUAUCACUGACUGGAAUGGUUCGCUACUUACUUCCUUCAGUGAGCACUUACCGAUCACUCUAUUGGAACUUCUUAGGAUUCCGCCACUGAACUAUAAUCCCGUGCGAAGUAGUGAAAUAUACUCUCUCUUUACCUUCCCCAUCUGACCCAUUCCUCCUUAUGCUCCAUCCCCUAAUUAUGAGUAUACUUGUGGUGCAAUUGCUAAUCAGUGGCUUCCAAUAAAACCAUAUAAUUGAGCCUGCCCAUCGCCAGAAAUUGAGCCUAGCUUGAGAACCCUACCUCGUUAGCCGAAUUCUAUCUUAGAGGAGAGCGAAAGUUCUCUCUUGAGCGGGGCUGGCUCUCUUUAUAGUCGCCCUUCCUUUCCCUUAUUCAGAUUCUGCUUGAAACACGUAGUUCUGUCUUCGCUGCUUUUCUAAGAAGUGCCCUUCCUAUCAAUAGAAACGUUCUCUAUCUUAUAGUCGAUCGUCUGAAAAGCCACUGACUUCCAUAUCGUUGAGAUCAGGCCUACGAGAAGUCUUAGUAUUCCGAACCUUCGGCUGCGCUUAGGACAGCUUUGUGAGAGAAAAGGUCGGGCGAUAAAGCGCUAUCAACGGCUUGAGGAGAAGCGGACUCGAUCAAGUUGAGUACUGCCUUCCACAACUCCUCCAUAGAUAGACAAUCAAUCAAUACAAAUUAUAAGAAAUCGAAUGAGCACAGUGGAAUUAUCCUUUUCUUUCGGAUAGUCAAAAGAACCAAAAAGAAGGUCACCUGCGGGAGAAUCAAAUGCAAGUUGAUGAGAUUCAGACCUAAGAUUCAGAAGAUGGUGAAACAUACUUAUUAGAGAGCCGCUUUCGCCUCGGAGCUCAAGCCUUAAAGAGAGAGAUGCCAUUCUUGCCCAGGUAAAGCCUUACUGACUGACUGCUAUCAUAUAACUAUACAACAUUUAGACUAGACUGAGGAACUGUGCUCCUACCUGCUAAAGCCGCUUCAUGCUAGGCGUCCAGACCGCCCGAGUUGCCUCGCCGGAACACUAACUAUUUCCACUAUUGCUUCAGUCCAUCACUUCCCACUAGAAAGUCAAAUACCAGAUGAAACCCAAAGAGCCAAGUAACUACUAAUGACCAAGCUUAGGGACAAGCAACAGUGCGUACUAGAGCAAGAAAUAAGGAUAAGCCCAAAGGUGAGUCAAGCAAGAAAUAAGGAUAAGGUGGGUAGGGAGCGAAGUCCGACUCUAAGGGCAUUAGUUACAGAAUCAAAACUUGGAGGGUAAGACCAAAACUCCAUGAAAGGUAUGUUGGGCAAUAGCUUGAGUUUGAAAGCAAGGGAUCCAAAUCAGCUGUUAAGGAAAGGUAGCCGGGAAAAGUGAACUAAUUGAAAGUCAGAGCUGGCUGGGUUCCUAGUAAAAGUAUGAGUAUCGUCGGUUCUAUUCUUGUUAGCAACAGUUCUAACCUGGGGGUAGCGGAUUCCAUUCUAUUAAGUGGUGGGUUCAUUCUCGCUAUGGGUAGUUCGAGUUCGGUUAGCGCUACUUUUAGAAGCUACCCAAGUCAUGAAGUUUUAUUGAAAUUGUAGUUAAGCCCUGUAUGCCUUAAUUCGAUCCCCGGUAUAAAUAGUGUAAUUACCUGCUCGAAGCUAUAGCCCUGUUAGCGGUAGUUAAGGUCUGAUCGGUGCCAGUCCCAUUCUGUUUUUUAGUCAGAGGAGUAAUAAGAGGAAACCGGUACUUCACACCCAAACUACUGAUCUCAAUGAAAAGAGAAUAACGAUUGUAAGUUCCACUCUUUGACUUACCUAUUUCAUUCUUUCUGGUAGUAGUUCUACUCUAAUACCUAUAUACUUCUCGGUUUGAUUUCCACUUUCCAGUAUUAGUACCGAUCCCAUGAGAGACCAGUAGGCCAAUUAAGAGUUGUGAUUCCCCCAUAGAGCGAGGUUGUUUCCUAUGUUCCAGAUUGAUUCUUUGUACAACUUCGGAGUGAGUCGAUCCCUCUGAUCCGAUGUCCAUUCUUAGACUAUCUGCUGAUGUGUCCAUUCUCCCUAGUUAAUUAAGGUGCCUAUUCCUAUACUACUAAUGGGAAUUGUCAUUGUUUAUUUGUACUAUGGGCAAAACACACGGCCGCUCAAAGACAGAAGAGGUUAUAACAAGUACAAAGAAAGCGGAUUAUGUGUUUUUGUCUUAUAGUUAGUAAAAGCAGGAGAAAAACGGGGGGUUUCGGUUUUCAAGCAAAGCUCUAAGGCAUUAGUGAAAGGCUCAUAGGCAGUGAAGGCAGGCUUGAAGCAAGGGGAGGUAGGUCGAUCAGCAGUCAAGUAAGAUGAAUUAAUGUUCCCCCCGGAAAGCGAGACUAAUAGGCAGUGGAACGGGGCUUGAAGUAAAGCGAGUAAGGUUUCAAGCAAGGACAGUAAGCCUCUUCUCUUGGGGACAGUUCCCAGUUAGAGUCAGAAUACAGAGAAUCACACCGGGGAAGGACAGACUGUAAGGCAAGAGUAGCGGAGUCGAACUCCAGUAUAGUAAUAAGGGAUGUAUUGGAUAGGAGGGGCAAGGUCAGCAGUUAGAAUAGAAAUAGGUAAUCGAAUUGCUUCUAUAGUUAGAGCAGAGCCAGUAUCCAGUGGUAGUCCUGUUCGAGUGAGAUAAGUAGAACAAUGAAACAAAUACUAAUGAAAACCGAGUAGUCAACAAUUCUGAAUUGAAUCUUUCUUGUCUGCUUUAAAGACUAAGCGGAAGGGAUCAAUAGCAUAAUUCUGGUAUUGGUGCCGAGAUCGGGAUAUCCUCAGUAGGUAAAGAAGAGAAAUAUGAUUCCCAAGCAGUAGGAGCAGCGCCUAUAGUGUUCCUGGCUACAAUACCUUAAUUCGGUUCAUCUAACUUCAUUCUGACUUGCUUCAUUAAGACCCCUCUUUCAACUAUACCACCUCUUCUCUUGUUCCUCUCCUUAAAGGCAUGCUUAGCCGGGUAUUUAGUUUGUAGUAAUUGCUUGGUGGAAUGAGUAAUCAAUACACCGAAAGGGAAUCGGAAUGGAAGAAAACUUUACUGGAAACCGGAACUCGGGAACUCAACCACAAGAAUCAAAGAAAAGAAAGAAAGUGGUGAGCCAAGCCAGAGUUCAAAGAGCCAGAGAGGGAUAUUCAGAGUCGAAGUAAGAAGCCGGGUGCUCAACUGACCGAGUUUAGUCUUAAGUGGACAAGCGAGUGUUGGUGCUCUAGCUCUAAGUCUGAAAGUGGAGUUCCGUGGUUGGUGACUUCUUGUACACAAGGUUGGUGACUUCUGGUAGUACUGGGUUAGUGACUUAGUAUUGUCUAGUAUACGCUUGGCGCUAUGUGUUUGUGAGCCAGAGGAUAGAGAGUCAAGGGAAGCUAUUAGUUGAUUUAUAAAGAAGAGAGUUGACUAAGUAGAGGCCAGGCCAGGUCCGUUGCUUGGCCGUUAGGGGAAUUUCUCCUUUUUGUCCAGUAGUAGCUUGGCCCGAGCACAAGAAGAUGAAGUAGUAGCGUCAGUGAGUUGGCAAUCUUCAUGACUAAAGGAUUUUCCUGCUCCGCGCUCAACUCCUUAUUUAUAGGAAAAAAGAUAGAGAUGAAAUUGAUGAACUUCAAGAAGAGGUCGAAGAAGAACCAAAUCCAAAAGUAGGCUGUUAGAGCGGAUCCAGUAGUUAUAGGUGAGUGAAGUUGUACAAAGGGUUACUCUCGGGGUGCAUUAGGAAGGAGUUAUUUGAGUUGUGCUAAGGGUUACUCUCAGGGAACAGGCAAGGGUAGCAAAUAUAGUAUAAGUUCAGGGCGAAAGUAGGGGUAGGGUUAUGGUAGGUAAGAAUCAAUUCCAAUUGACGUCGGUCGUGGAUAGAGAGGUGUGUCUUCCGCGCUAAGUGUGUUCGUUACUGCCGCAAUUGACUUCAGGGCUGGAACUGGCACCACUACAAGGGAAAGCCUUAUUGUCUUUUUCUAGUGGAACUGUUUGGGUGCGAGUAGAAAGGAUAAGUCAAGAGCAAGCAGGAGUAGCGUAAAGAUUAGAUAGAGCCGGCAGUCAUGGCAAGAGAACCUGUCCGGUAAGAACGAGUCCUGUUUUCUUUAAGAGAAAGAGGCUAUGCUUAGUUACAGAUCUUUGAGAGAAAGAGGCUAUGGUUAGUUACAGAAGAGAUAGAAGCUAUGGUUAGUUACAGAAGAGAUAGAAGCUAUGGCUAGUUACAGAUUCCAUCAUCCCUAGCGAAAUCUUUCUCUUUAGACCUCUUAAGGGCAAUUCCACCAACUUUCCUACUUUGUAGUUGAGUUCGUAGCUGACUAGGAGUUCAAUCAAGUAAGCUGCAAGCAGGGGCUAGUUCCACAAAAAGAAAAACAGCAUAAUUUCUUUCUUAUUUGUUAUUUCCGAGUGUUGUUUUCGCCCGCCAAGCUGCUUGUAUAUAAGGGUUUGUCUAGUAGUAGCUUGGCCCCAGGCAUCUAAUAUUCAUUUACUGCCCAGCAGGCUUAGGCUACUUACUUGCUAUUCGCUCUGGCACUGCCGAUCUCAAAACUCCUUAGCCUUAGCUCUUGUUUGAGUAUGCUACUUCUUCCCGAAAGUCUAUUUGGUUAUUUGCGUUAAGUGACUUAGGGUAAUGAACCAUUGAACAAAGAAUUGAGUUAGUAAUAACAAGAGCGGAAGGACGUUUUUCACAUAGAAGAGAAAAUGAUGUGAAAUGAGAAGAUGUUAGUUGGUUGUUUCGAGCUAGUUACCGCUGACAUAAAAGAAAGGUAUAUGCAUAACACAUGCAAGUAGGACAGGGAGUCUAAUUCAAGCAAGAAAAGUGUAUGGUGCUACAAUAAAGCUUGUCUUUCCGUACAAUGGAUGUCACUGGCACUUUUCAAGGUCGAGUCAGAAGCCCUUUUCGAAUGCCUCUUUUUGUGCUCUUUCUUGAAUACAUGGAAUUCGAUGCUUGACUUCUUUCACUAGGGGACCUCUUACAAAGAAACGUCAGCCAGCGUGGAAGCCCCCAAUACUUGAAAACUACGCAUCCACUGACACUAGGAUCGUCAAAAGUGAAGAAAGCUUCUUUUCCUGCUGGUCAAAGUUAGGAGCUGCAGAAUGACUUAUUGCUUCCUGUUCAUGUGCAUAUAGAAGGAUCCUUGUGUGCUGGUAUCAACCGAGAAAGAAACGAUGACUCGAAACCUUAAGCGAGCUCUUCUCAGACAACUGUCGAACUUUUGCCUUUUAUCGCUGCAAGUAAAGUUCUGCGCUAAACCAAAUGAAGACAUCUGUGCCAUGAUCAAGAACAACAUACAUGAGAAAAAGCUUCACCGAUUGCUCCUAAGAUUGCUAAUGAUUAUUCUUUUUUUCACAAGGCAACAAUCUUUAUGCCAGCGUUCCUAGCCUUGAAUCCGCGGAAACAACCUGCGCUUUGGAUCCGUUUACCUGAGCUCCCUAUUUAGUACUUCGACAGUUCUCCAAAUAUGGGGACCUUCGAUACUUAGUUAUGAUGAAGAUUAAGUCGCAGACCAUAAGAUAAGAUAAGGGGAUGAAAGGAAGUAGAAAGACCAUAAGAUCAGGAAAGGAAAUUAGAGAAUGGAAUUGACCACGAAAAAGGGCUAAGUCAUCACUAAAAAGGAUUACUUGGUUGCAGAUGCCAUAGAACGGGUUGAAGCUAAGAUGUUUGGCUCCAAAGAAAGUGCACCGAUCACACGAAAACGUACUGAUUGUCCGAAAGCUUUUAGGCAAAGACAUCUAGAUACAGGACUUGCUCAUAACUUCGUUAUUCGUUGCUGCCGCGCAACGUGAGUAGUUGCUUGGCCUGAUCAUCCGAAAUAUCGGUUCACUUUUGGGAAGGUUCCCGAAUUGACUAGCGGCUCUGCCGCGACACAUUAGUAGUGUCUUGGCGGGUCUAGUGCUUGUGUUAAGCAAGUAGUAAAUCUAUCUCCUCCGUAGUCUUUUCCCCUCCUAAAUGAUAUAUUAUCUUUCUAUAGGAUGACUGAAUGGGCUUGGCUGUUGCAAGAGGAGAGGUAUUGUACUACUGCACCGGGUUGGUGUCAAAGAGACUUUUGAGUGGAAUUCUGUAUUUGUUUAGGUCGGGUCGGGGUCAGAAAGAAGAAUGUGUUUACUUACUUGUUUCAUGAAGUGACUAGGCUAGAGGUUAGGGUAUUGUAAUCCAAGAAAUGAUCAAAACCAUCAAAGAAGUCGCUAUGGAAAUGCCCCUUUUUCUCGAUUUUCGCUAUAAUUCCUUACCUUAGUGAGGCUAUCAUUCCUUAGUGAGAAAACUCAGAACUAAAUAUAAGAUAAUGAACCUAACAACAUUCCUUUACGAGUAAGAGAAACUUGUCUUGAUUAUGGAAGGAGAUGAAAAACCACUUCUCUUUCUCCUAGACCAACUCUGUACUAGUGAAGUAUAAGAAAAACCCAUAGAAAUUCCAUAUUAUUAUAUAUAGGAUAAGGAAACCUCGACUCGCACACAGGACAAAGAUCUUCAAGCUGACAAGCAACCACUCGUUCUAUGGUUUACAGCCCCACCAAACAAGUAUACGAGUAGUCCGAUCCGACCCUGUGGAGCUUCUGUUUGGACUGGUUUCAUUUGGGAUAACAGCAGCAGGACACAAUAAGGCUUAACCUUGUAGAAAAGAAAAGAAAUGGCUUUGAUCAAAUUGAUUCAUCCCAUUCGAUUCUUAUUGUCUGCCUCUCUCUACUUCGAUUCUUAUUGUCUGCCUCUCUCGACUCUGGCUCUCAUCUCAUCCAACUGAAUUCUAACUUGCUCCUCUGGCUCAUCUAAAACUACUGAGUUAAAGUCAAGAGAAGAGGGAAUCUUUGUUUGCAACGAGAGAAUCCUCCGCUGGAUAAGGUACUGGUGCGCGAGCUGUGUAAAUAAAGUGACUUUCCGGGCUGUCUAAGUAGCAGCUGUUGUGCUUUACUUUGAUCCUACUAUCUUGGAUCCUACUAUUAAGUCAGAAGAAAAAGCAGAAUGAAGUCAGAAGAAAAAGCAGAAUAAGCCGAAGAAGGAUCUGUUCUUAUUGAAGCUGUUUCAUCGAGAUCAGAAGCCAGAGCAGGCGAUUAAGAAAGUGUUGUUUAAGUGCUCGCCAAAUAACUACACAUGACCAGAGUCAUGAGCUGGAACAAGAAAAGGAGCAGCACUUGUUCGAGUGGAAUCCCCAGUAGCAUCUGUGUUUGUUGGUGACUCUAAAGAAGGUGUGAAAGCCAGGCAAGCAGACAAGAGUGACUUCUAACUCGAACUGGACUACUACUACUGGGACUACUACAAGUUUCAGGGUCAACUGUAUAAGAUGCAACUUUACUACUACUUGGAUGACUACUUUAAUAAGGGUAAACUAGGGCAGCUAGUCAAUUGAAGUAAGUAAACUUCCCUCGCCUAGGAAUAGAAUUCCACCACUUUCCCUGUGUUUGGGCAAACUUACAAUAAGGGCCUAAACUCUCAAGUCCGAAGCUCCUGGUAGAGCCAAGCCAAGCCUACCCGAACCGAGCUCUAGUGUGUUAGCCUACCUCGACUCUUGAGUUUUAGCACCCGACUAGAGCCUUGCAUGGGAAUGACACAAGCCUACCCUACCUGAGUAACAUAAUCAACAGUAUCCGGAUUAGAAUCAAGAUCCGAAGAAGAAAGUCAAGAAGCUGGAUCCGAGAAGAAAGUCAAAAGAAAGUAGGCAAGCUACGUUUACUACUCCGGUAUUCCACUAAUUCCAUUCUUAAGCUGAGGCUGCCAAUGAGGUAUAUGAGCCAUAACUUGAUUAGUUUACAUAGUGAUAUGAGCAAGAUCAGAGGGAUAGGUUCAAGAGCAGAGUUGACUUACCGGUCGCCCAGCAACUAACUACUAGUGACAUCCCGAACUUAGAGCUACAGCACCACGGAAUUGAUCUCUCUUACCUAGCGAAUUACUAUAAGGGCCUAAACUCAUAAGUGAGAAUGGAAUUGCACCUAUGGAGCACCCGAGCUCGACUUUCAGAAUAGAAAUAGGACAGGGGAAGAGCACCCUGCUUGGCACUGCUUCCAUUCCUUUCCUACUUUCCAGUUGGAUUCCUUUAUUGACUAGUUCAAUUAUGACUUGCUGACAUUCUUACCUUCAACUAAGCCUCUCCUAUGGUUCAUAACUACUCUACAACUUGCUCCUCUCUGCUAACAGAAUUUGGGAUACCUCGCUUCUUAUCCAGCUCUAUCUGUACUGUAGGAGAGAGAUUUGCUGUUUCAUCAAUUAUCUUUCUCAUUUAUAAAUGAAUUAUUAGAUUAUUAAGGAUAAAGAACUGAAAGAGACUUGACUUUAGUACACCUCGCAUCAAAAGAAUCAUAAGGGAGCGGGAAAGCUAUCAAUCAGACUAAGCCAAAGCACUACCCUUAACUACAAACAUGGGUGAUACUAGAUACUCUCCCAUACCGCAACACCUCUGCUCUUGUUAUCUUUCUCAUAUAAGAUAGAAUGAAAGACCUUACGAGCAACCACAUCCUCGGAUUAUGACCUUGCAGUAACAUUAUUACUUAAGAGUAGAGAGCGCAGGGUUGGUUCCCUAUUCUAUCUCUUCCUAAGGAUUUGAAACAGGAGCAGGGUAUGCCUAUGUUCUUAGGCUCAAAUUCACUAGAACACAACUUCUUAUGUUUUAUGGGAAAUAUGACAUGGAAUACCUCCUUAGGGACCUAUCAAUUCAUUUCUGCCUAUAAUCUUUAGGGUCGAAGAAAGGGUUUCUACCGGCUUUGAGGCUAGGGAGAUAUUAUCUAUGGAAUAACUCAAUUCUAAUGUAUUUAUGGGCGAGUCUUGCCUUUGUCGCCGGAGGUCUCUCAUAGAUAUUAUAAGUCACUCACCCACCUAGUGAUCCUUCUUAAAGGUAAGAGAAAAUCCACUCCUUCUCGCCUACCUAGUGAGGACUCGUUUAUAACUUUUCUUUAUGCCAUCUAUGUUGUUGCUGACUCCACUAAUACUGAAUUUCUUAUUGAUGAGCGCAUAUGGUAAGACUGUCCGAAGAAGUAAGCUUAUGCUACACGGCUUACAGAACUCCCUUAGGCCACUGAGUCUUGCCCGAACUCUACUUUAAGUUCAUAUCCGGAUCAAGCCUCUUAUCAAGCUUCUGCUUAAGGACUUAGCGCUUCAACUGAUGAGGGCUUACAUCUACGAGAAAACAAUAACUUCUGAUUCUGUUGGAUCUUAAAGCUACCUAUCCCCUAUCCUUGGUUACACAAAUCUAUUAUAUGUCGGUGGGGCGGGUACCAAGAAUUCUUCCAUUUCUCCUGAUCCCAACGGACAAAGGAUUUCUCUGAAGUAAGAAUUCCACUACACUCAUAAGUCAAAGGCCAAGCUUAGGGAUGAGCUACUACGUAGCGAAUGCUGAGUAAGACGUUGGGCGGCAGCAACUCCUGUUUUUUGGAGCUUCAACUGUGUUCGGGAACCACUACCUAUAAUAAUCGAUCUGGGAAUAAAUAAAUGCACUAGGGAAAGUAAGACAACAAUCAUCAAACCAUAAUUGACUGUCAGUAAUAUAAGAAUAGGAAUAUGGGUAUGGUCUAGCGCAUGUGGAAUAUAAAUAGAAUAACAAUAAUAGAGCAACUCGACAAGCAACGGAUACUAUUAGAUAACAACAACAACUAUUAUAAUAGAACUAAGCUGUCCAAGCCCUAUUGUAUGCCCUAGCAGACCAAGCCCCUUAUAUCUAUUAUCAUAUUUCUCUUAUCACCUCGCUCCUUAGCUUCAUCCCUAUUGCCCCUUGUCCCGCUCUUACGCUCUUUGCUUUAAACCUAGAACCGCAGCUGAGAAUACUUUCACUACUCAGUGGAGUUAUGUAUUAUCAUAUGGAAACACACAUCUAAAUAUAAGUUCAAAGAAUAAGGCAUCUCAUAAUCAAAUAUAGAAUUCAAGCCAGGGUUUUAAGGAUUGGAUAAAAGGUAGUAGCCCUGAGAUACAGGAAAGACAUACUCUUUGGAGGGUUCUCCGGCAUAUUAGUUAAAGGAUCCGUAUCAGUAACUAUAGAAUGAGAUAAAGCAGUAUAAGUUUAGGAGAACGCAAGGGUAUCAAGUAGAUAAGUCAGAAGUCAAGCCAGUAAUGUCAGUUUUAUGCAAAAGAAUAGGGAUGCCAGGGACAACUAACAGAAUAGAAGCAAACCCGGACUGGAACUAGAGAAUAAAGGUGGGGAGAGAUAACCUUGGGUUCAGUCUGCCCAGCACCGGGUUAAGGAUGUGACUCACCCGUUCCAUUCUUAUUGUCUGCCGACCUAAACUAUUGCUCUGUACUCUUCUCGACUACUUACUUUAAUAACCACUGAAUCACUAUCAGAAACAUCAACCCAGAACUAGAACUUCACUUUAUGAACUGACAACCCUAACUACUUUCCUAGACUAAACUAGCUAGCUCCCCCACGGAAUAGACCUCCCUCGCCUCUCCUCGACACUGUAGUCCUCUCGACUUCCUCUUUUGUAUUCCUCUCGACUUCCUCUGUGAACUCCGGCUCCUCUCUUUCUUACUUAACAGCUUCCCGAAACAAGAACACCUAGAGCUACCUUACCUGGCAAACUGGAAUUACAGAAUUGAGGUAUGCUUACUGACUCAUACUAACUGACCUAGCCCAGUAACUCACUGCGGGCAAGGCUUAAUAAGUAGGGGCUUGAACCACUACAAAUAAUAAUUCAACUCAAAACUAGGAAUAAGGAAAGUAGGAAUGAAACCACUAAUACAAAGAAUGAAACUAGCUGAGGGCAACUAUCCCUCUACUCUGGCUCCAUUAAUGACAGUAUUCUCCUAGCCUGGCCUAUCCUCACCGUACUUUCUCACUGGAGCUGGACUCUCCUUCUUACUUAACUACUUCCUUUUCUUUACUUAACAGCUUCCCACAAAAGUGAUUGCUCUUGACUACUCGUAUACAUGUUUGGUAUUCCACUCACCAACUAAAGGCUCCGCCGACUUACUAUAAGGGCAACUAAUACAGAUGCAAAUGGACAACUACUUGUUGGAACAGUCAACCCGGAUUCUGUUGAGAAAGCUGCCUCACCGGAUCCUGAAUUAAAGUAAAGGGUAAUUACUGGAGUGCGCUAGAUCAUACCAGCUGGCAUGUUUGUGAAGAGGAUAGUUAAUGCUUCAGAGUCCCUAUUUAUAGUGGUAGUCCGGGUGUAGCAAUGAAAGGUAUUGCUCGAGUAAAGUCUAGUUCUGGGAAAUCCAAUUAACUGAGUUGACUUAGAUGCGGGAGUUGCCUUAGAUGCCCUGUUGCUAAGGUCAGAAGUGAUAUUAAUACCGGUUGAUAAUGUUGCUGAUGGGGAUCUGUCUUCUGUAGUCUUCUGGGAAAUACAAUUGAAACAAGCUGCUGGCUACUAUUAAAAGAAUUAGGCUCGCAGGGCAGCUAGUGUUCUUCCUGGCAACUUCACUGGUUCCCUUUCCACUCUAGAGAAUGGAAUGGCUCCUCUCACUCUGAACUCCGGACUCUGGUAUUGGUAUUAUAACUAAUGAAACUCCAAAGUCGGGAAGUGAGAAUGAAACCAGUAAAUCAAAGAAUAUCAUGCCUAUUACUUGAAACCAGACAGUUUGAUCAUAGCUUCACACAAGGGUUAUACUAGAUACUCUCCCAUACCUAUACACCUCGAUCUCUUACCUCUGUCACUCAUACAGAUGAAAAUGGACUACUAUACUUAAAGGGGCAAGAACUUGAAUAGCUUCCCUUGAGACCUCGACUCUGGCUCAUCUACCUAUGGCUAAAAUACUUCUUGAAACAAGCUAAGCUGCUGUCAACUAAUAAAAGAAUUAGGCUCCUCUACUAUAUAUUACCUAUGGCUCCUACUAGUUUAAGGGUCAACUGGGCAUUUCAUUAAGGGCACAGGACAUUCUACCGUUAUAAGUAAGGGCAACAGGAACUGGCUAUUCUCCAGCAUACUGGAAAACUCCCCUUUCUGAUUACCUGGACAAGCAGACUCGCUACCACUGCACUACACCUCUGAUUCCACUGGACCACUACUUGUGUUGAACCGACAACAAAGACAGAUUCAAAAAGCAAGUAAGUCAACUACCCGAGCCUCAAAGCCGAUACCUGAUCUAUAUCCUUUCUCAUCUCCUCUUAUCUUGCUAAUCUCACUCUGGUCUGGCUAAAGCAACAAUAAAGGCCAAGCAACAACAGGCCAAGCCCUUUCUUCUUAUUAAGUACACAGCCUUAUUAAGUACACUGCUUCCCUUUCUGGUUCCCUUGCUGACCUCAGUUAUUGAUUACUUGACUAGCUUCCUGGCACCUACCGAGUCGCCAACAAAGCAUUUGGUGUCAUUCUCAAGUCGAACAUUCCCACUUUCAUUAUAUCUUAUAAUAUAGGAGAUCAUCUGUUACUAAUGCAGAAGAUUGGUCACACCACUCAUUCUUUUCUGGAAAUUAGAAGUAGUUUGUCUCCUUGCCGACCGAAACUCUCCCCCAGGUGGUAGUCCAGAGUCAAGAGCAAUAAAAGUAGUUGUUGACAGAGCCGAUCCGAAGUCCUUGUAUGUUCAUAACUCGUUAUAAGCAAGUACUCUCACUGGCAAGUCCUGUUUUUGGGUGUUCUAUUAGGAUAUGGAUUUCUUCUAAGCUUAACACAAGCACCGAACCCGUCUCUGUGAACUCUUUCUCCUCUCCUAAUCUAACUCUUUCUCCUCUCCUAUAGAAACAUAAGAAUUGGAAUGCAGAAACUUACAAUAAGAGCAGCAGCUGACCUUGCGGACCUCUUUUCCUUAGUUGCAGCCGCUAGUGCUCGUCUCAGUUCUGUUCUCUUCUGGCCUCCAUCUAAUCUCACUCUGGCUACUCUCAUCUAACUCUGUCAACAAUUCUUCAUUCUAAUACUUCUACUAAUAUGACACCUCUACUGUGACUAAUAAGAAUAAGGGAUCUACUAACCGGUCUUCUUCUUCAGACUCGUUCAACUAAGUAUAUAGUAACAGUCUCAAGCAAGUCCUCUCGACCCUUAAACAAGUAGUUCAGGUAGUCCAGAGCCAUAAGGGUAAGGUAAGGCUUCAGAUACAAGCGGGCGUAACUAUUUGCUAUCAGCCAAGAAACUAGGCAAGUAGACAAGAAGACACAAGUAACAGGGCCAAGUCACUAGGGCAACUCAGUAGUGAGAGUCGGAUCGGUUCAGUCUUAGUUGUACUGGGUUGAUUCUGUCACUCCCCGGUUUGGUUCUGUAACACCUACAGAUCAGUCUGAGUGGCACCCGAACACAGGACUUGGUCAUAACUCGGCAAAUGGAGAAUAUCUCCUCUGAUCUUGCCUCGGAUCCUGAACUAGUUGAUGCUGCUUCAAAGCAAGUACUUUCUUCUUCCUCGGCUCGGAUUGAUCUCUAUUUCUUACCUCGGACAGGACAGGACAGGUUCUAUUCCAUAUUUACUACCCCGGACAGCUUCUUUCUAGGCGCCAUCCCGAACUAUACCUUAACUAUUUAUAGGUCAAACUCACUACACAAGCACCGCACCAGUAUCUUAGAAACCAUUGAAACAAGCAGCUGGCAACCACCCUCUGUCAACUGUAGCUGACCUCUUACUUGCAUUGCUUACCUUUCCACUACUGAGUGCAAUUCUCAAUCUCAAUUGGGUUUCAUACCAGUUCAAUUCACACUUCACUACUUUUUAGGAUAGGUAGGCAGCAAUACCUUACCAGAGGAUAGGUAGACUUCAACACCCUACCUUAGAACUGAGUUUGGAAGCCAACACACCUUACCUUACUUUAUCACCUUACUUGGGAACUUGACCUGGAACUACACUUUACUUUAGAACCAGAACAGGACCACUCGACUACUGGUAUUCAACAAUCACCAGAACAGGACUCCUACUUGUUGGCAUUACUCCUCGUAUACUUGCUACCCGGGCUAUGGCAACGAGUGAAAAUUGAGCCAACUUAAUAUAAGGGCUCUGAUUCUCUACCGACUUAAUUAAGGGCAACUGCCAAGCGACUACUAAACACGCCGCUACUAACCUAGUAAAUACAGAUCGAGUUUACCCUCUGCUCUUGAUUGACUUUAGGACCAACCCUAGUACUCUCAGUAGGAGUCUCCGGUAUUGAACAUACUAAUUAACUUCAUGACUCACUUUCUUAUUUCCUCUUUCUACUUUACUAUAUUUCUAUUCUCCUCUGCUAGUGAAUACUUGAAUGAAAGAAUUCUAUUGCCUAGGAACAGUCUGAUGAACCCGGUAACUAACAAAGGGUAAGUGGGAAAGCAAGUAAGUAUAUGAAUAAUAAAACAAGUAAGAAUGAAUAGUUGUAUAGUUAAGUAUAUAGGAAUGGAUUUGAGGCUUAAAGAGGGUACACGCGGAGGAGAGGUUUUUAAGUAAGGAUGCAAAGGGAGAGAAGCUCACUAAGUACUGUAUUCGCCCACUAAGAUGUUAGGAUCAAAUGAACUAUUUAAUAACGCCAAGACGACAAGCAACUCGGGAUGCUAAGGAAGGGCUCAUAUGUAUUCUUAUUAGAAAUAACUAUUUGUAGUAGCUGUUGUAACGAGUCAGGUGUUCUACCUAAAGAAGGGAACCAUCAAGGGACGCGUGAAGGCUACUCCCACAGGUGCAGAUCCUUUGCCAACAACAAGAACGGAUGCAACUUAUUGUAUUUGCCCUACCCAUCCUCUGGCAACAAAGAUGGAUGAAACCAUGGAAAGAUCAGUUGCUACAAAGACAUAUUCCACUUUACCUAGAACAAGAACUGGAACUGGGGAUGAAACUGCCCCAAGGGAACCAUCAAGGGAAGCGGGAAGGAAAGAAAGGUUGCUUGGCCCUCGAGCACAGGUACGAUUUAAACAUAUACAAAACUAGGAGCGGUCUUCAAGCCAACAAAUAAGGACAGGGCACUUUCGCCAACAAAUGUAAUUGAACUCGAAUCCGCCCUGAACCCUGCACAUGUUCUUAACCAACCAACCCUUUGCUCUUCUCUUAACCAACCUUAGGGCUAUUAUACUUUCUACUUAGUAGGGCUAUUAUACUUGAUAGUUUCAUUGGACGGGGGAAGGUAGAAACCUAUAGAUCUCAAGUCAUGGGUGGGUGCUCUAGCUCUAAGUCUGCUAUAAAAGAAUGGAAUUGCUCUUUCAUUGCUCCUGGGUUUCCCAUACUAAAUGGAAGGGCUUUCUCCUUAUCUAGAUACUAAUAUAGAUAUUCUUAUUAUAUUCUAGAUAUUCUUAUUAUUAUAUUCUAAAGUUCUAAAGAUAAAUAAAGAAAGUAGAGGCGGAAAGGAUUCUCACACAGUCGACAACAAACUAUGACUUAGGUAGGCCCAGGUAAAGAAGGGUAGCUAGCUCUAAGUCUGCAAGGGAAGCAGGGGCUAACUUACAAUAAGGGCGCGCGACUAACAUAGUUGCUUGCCGGGUACAAAAUUCACUAUUUCACAUCUUUCUAUUUGAGUAGAAGGAUUUCCCAUCCAACUCAAUAAGUGACAUUAGAGUGCAUUUUUCGUGUAUAUCUUAACCCCUCCCUUAAUGUUACGUAUAGAUCAGAUCCACAGAGACAUCUGGAUCUUAGUAUCAGAGUUUCGUUAAAUAGGGAAGUGAAUGAAAAGAACCGGGUUCCUCUCUGGCUCCCGAACACAUAGUUCAUUUUCAACAAGGGGACAAUCAACUACUUCAGAAUGGAAUGGAAUAAUAACUGCCAAACAACCACUAGGUAAAAGCCAGUAGCUAGAAACUCUUUCUUCUUCAACAUACUAUAAUAGCAGCUCUAGUACACAAGCACAAAUAACCUUCUCAAGCAAGCGGGUAUCUCGGAAAGCACUCUCAAUCUGUUGUUUCAGCUUAUCCAUCAGUUGUUUCAGCCUAUCGAGUAGUCGACUCUAAAUCAGGUGUUCAAACCAACUACUCUCAAGAUGGUGUUCCAUAAGCCGUAUCAAGGUAAGCUCCUAUCAAUAGAGUUCGGGUCGAUAACAACAAAGGACUGACUGAAGCCACCCAGCAGGGUUCAAUGAGAAGAUACGAAGCUCCAGAGUCUAAUUCCCAUUAAGGAGUUGCAUAAUCUCCUAUACUAAGGAGUUGCAUAGUCUCCUAUAAUAUAAUAAGAACAGAUACUUCAAUUAGUAGAGGCCAAGUAACUAAAAUAGAGUCAAAAAGUGGAAGUUUUCUUUCAAAUAGAGUAAGAAAGUGGAAGUUUUCUUUCCGUUUAUUUCAUGUUUUUUCAAUUAUCCAUUAUUUCACUAAACUACCCGAGCAAGUAAGUAAACAACACUACCCGCUUCGUCACCAACAACUAUCUUAAAUGAGAAUUCUUAGUUGCGCAGAAUUGUGGAAUGGAAAGAGCUCGCUAGGAAUAGGAAUAAUAAGCUCUUUAUCAGCUGUUGAGGACAGAUCCGCUUCCCACCCUCUUGAAGUAGUCGGUUGAUGAGGUCGGUAAAGCAAGUAGGCAAGUCGGCCAAUCCCUCUACCCCGAAAAAGGCUAAAUAAAGAUAGAAAGUAAGCGCAUCUCCCUCGUCUUUGUUGGUACACCAUUCCCUAUUCACUGCCCCCAGCCCCUCUUUAGAAUUAGGUUGGUAGGUCGGCUACGGAUUAGCCAAUCUUCAACGCCAGAAAAAGCAGAAGUGACGGCUUAGCUUAAAGGACUAAGCUCAGUAGUAAGGAAGGGAGGAUCUAUUUGUUUGUUACCAGACCUUUAUAAACCAACCCAGUAUUCCUCGGCAAAGAAAGCCGGUUCGGGUGAGCGGUGAGCAAGGAAGCCGGACCAAUAGGCUCAGUUGAAUAAGUUUCUGUUUGUUACACAAGCUUGAGAGCCAUAUAUUGUUAGUGUGCCGCGCUUGAUAGAGAGGUUGAUUUACCUGUCUUCGAUAUCAGCCCAGUUUACCUUAUCUAUCUUGGAAUGAGGGAGGUUCAUUACCCUAUUUUAGGAAUACGAAGAUUAGUACCUUUCCACCCCUUAGUGCAUAGAGAGGAACUAAUGAAGCAAACAAGCCCUUCCUACUCUUACUUAACAGGUUUUGUCUGUUUCCGGUUUCAUCAUCUUCUUACGAUAGGUCUUCCAUUGACGACCUCUUGAGUUAUCCAAAUAUAGACAAAUAUGGAAUAAGAAUCUAACUAGGUUUCGUCCAUUAGCUAAUCCGGUUGAGUAUGAGGGUUCAAGCCCUCUGAGUUGUAGGUUUCAGUCCUACCCACACCAACCUUAUAAUCUGGAAAUGUUCGUAACGUAAAAUGGUAGUAAGAGCAGUCGACUAAUCUGAGUUCUUCUAGUCGCCGGAUUCUAUGACUAGAGAGAGAGCGAAUCGACACAAUGCUAAUGUCCUAUAAGCGCUAAGUAGCUACAUUCUGAAGUAGAUAUUCUAGCUAUAGAAGAAAGGUAGUAUAUAAGAACAAAAGGGUAGCCGACUUUCUAAUCCUUUUCAAGUCCGUGCUCUGUGCAUGGUCCAGUACAUAUAUCCAAAAGUGUACCGCGCCUCAGUCAUUGGAUUAAGGCAGAUCGGGAAGAGUCAAAACCAAGCCCAUAAUCUUGGGCAAAGCAAGAAUUAAUGCCUCAUUCUUUCUUAUUGAGGGGAAAUCACCAAUGGCUGAAAUGAGAAAUGGCUUCGCUAUGAAUCCGUAAGACGUACCGCCCAAUACUUUAGUGACUUUAGUAUGAUGUUUUCAUUUAAUGGAUCCGGGUGGGUAAGAAAGCGAAACUAUAGUACAUGAUAUCUUGAUAUUCAUUUCAAAUAAGAGAAAGACACAUGUUAAUAAGUGAAAGACCUAUUUGAUAUUGUGAAAGACCUAUUGGAUAUUUGAGUUUGAGCAGCUUUCGAUCCAGUAAUCGUGCCGGGCUCUAUCGAUUAAGUAGUCCAUCCCUCCUUCUUUUCUUGCUCUCGAGGGUUAUAGGCGGACCCAUCAUUUCUUCUAUCUCUAUUUUAGGGGAGUACGAAGUGAUUCUGUCUGUAAUUCCUUCUUAAUUGGAUUCUGCCUUCGGUCCAGAUGCGCCAAACAAGCCAUUGGUUUCAUCUAAUUACCUUGAAGCAGGAGUCUUUCAGGGACGAUUCUCCUAUCCUAUUAGGGGCGUCGGUUGAAGAUGUCAAAGGUCCUUCUUAUUGCUUGAGUUGCCUUGCCCCUCUAUUUGCUAUCAUUCCAAGGAUUCCUACCGUUGUUGUUUGUAAGGCUCAAUGGCUUUUCCCUUAGUCCUUAAUAAUAUUAAUGCUUUCUCUCUCUUUCGUAAGUAUGGAGUCUAAGCUAGGGCUUGAGGUGGGGAAACACAUCCUAUCCCUUACGCAGUAUACCAGUUUUCUAUUCCCGUAGUCCUUAUAUCUGCCUUUUCUAGCCCACUCUCUCAUUCAGUCAAUGGCUUCGUAGAGUUAAUAAGAUUGGACCUUAUCAAAGAAUAGGCUCGGAUAUCUUUGUCAUUUAGCAUUAAUAUCUUUCCGCAGUUGAGGACAAAAAGGUCAAAGGUUCACUUUGGAGUUUUCAAUGUCCAUGAAGGCAAUGUCCCUUUUAUCCCUUAGUUCUUGUAUCAGCUCAAGAAGGUAUUUUCUUCCUUGACGAGUGAGUCAACCGACGCUUAGUUCUUGACGAUGUCCAACUUAUUCCUUCUGGCUUUUUGAUUGAGAAAAGGUGUCCUCGUCUAUCGUCUUCUCUGUGAGUGGUGCAUUGCUUUAUUAAGGAAACUAGCCCUGACCCUAACCUAAAGUAAAGGGCUUAAUUGCUAUGUCUUUAUUCUCUCACGCAAUCCGAAAUAUCUUUCGAAGUAGGCCAAGGAGCCCCCAAGAAGGUGGGCCGGUUCCGUUUUCUUUUUCCUAAUGUAAAUCGUAAGUAAUUGGACUCCUACAAAGUACUAGUUCUCAGUCCUCCAUCGGCCCAAGCUGUUUAGCUGUCCAAAAACAAACAGGGGUUUUCCAGGUGGAUCCUCCCGAAUAGUAGAUUAUCCUGAUAAGGCUCAUUUGAAGUAAGCGAAUCCGGAAAUCAAAUAGUAUCCGACUCAACAACAAAUUCCUCUCCAUCUCAGUCAGGGAAGUUUCUCCCGGGCCUUCGUUUUUGCCUUGUGAGGCAGCUUCUUUUUGCGUAUGACAUUCCGUCGAGUCGGGGGCAUUUUCGUUUUCGCCUUUAUAACAGCCAAAAUCCAGUCAUUAUGUAUAUUACCUUAAGCCUUCUCUUUCGUAUCAAUUGCCUUAAGCCUUCUCUUUCGUAUCAAGGACUUCUUUGUAUUGCUUGUAGAGGGAAGUGCCUCAUCUUCAUUCUUUUCUUUCUGGUGCACGAAGGGAAGGGUCUCAUCCUUUUUUUCUUGGUUCAAAGUUCCUUCAGAGUUCCUUCAGAGUGGUAGAUUGGACCUUUCCUGUUUCGAGUAGUCAUCUUACUAUCCUACGAUGAAUCAUUCCUCGAGACCGACCGAGUCUUUCUUUAACUGAGACCAACCAAUUGCUAGAUGAAAAUAGAACCAGGGUCCAUCCAGACUAGAUAAUCAGGCCUCUUCAUAUGAUUCUGGAAAGUGGGAUUCUUUUAUCGAUUGAGGGAAGAUAGCAAUCACUCAAGUAAGUAUAUAUUACGCUGAAAGCAGCAUCUUAUAGCGAGCAGGUUACCGGCUUUAAGAAAACGGGCCCACGCCUUCUCGAUGCUACUCUAGGCGGUCAAGUUGCUAACAGAAGCCAAAUCCCUAUUUUCACCUCUAUGAACUACCAAAUCCCUAUUUUCCAUUAUUAUUAUUAUUCCAUAUGAUUAUUCUGUCUUGUUAUUAUAUAUGAUUAUUCUGUCUUGUUAUUAGAAGAUAGACUUGGAUUUUCGCUGGGUUUGGCCCUAGAAUCACAAGGAGUUGAUAAACCAUCUGGCAAUUCUUUGAAGUCAUUUUGGAGUCUAUCAAGCUGUCAAACUAUUACUUCAUCAGUAUCAGGCUCUUAGCACCCGAAACAAUACUUUUCCACUUGACUUCCACUGGAACACUUCCCCUAACGACUGAAAUCGCAGCUAACAGGGAUGAAACAAUACCCCGGCUAACUGGAAUGAAGCUACUACCGACAAGAGCCCAACUCGCAACUAUAGCGCUGAACCACACUUUAACCUGCCAUUCCUUUCCUUAGCUCUUUCUUUAGCAGGUGGACUAAGCCAUCUUUUUCCAGUUGCCUUUCAUUCAGAAGCUAUCCCUUGUUUGGCGGUAGAAAGUAUGCCUUCCUAAUUCCAGUGAGUGAAGCAAGCAUAAUUGGGAUGGAAUUCCAGUGAGUGAAGCAAGCAUAAUUGGGAUGGAAUUGAUUCUCUCUUCUAUCCUUGUUCUUCUUCUGUCUAGCUUGAACUCUGUAAAGAAGCGAGUAUCCUUUGAUUCAACCGGCCAACCGAUAACCUAUAGAUUAUAGGGCCUCUUCGUUUCCGAGAGAGGUGCUGAAAGCCUCUUCUUUUCUUUCACCACUUUGGAUAAGAAAUAGAAAUAGCACCAACGAGAACUCCAUAUGCAGGAUCCCCAUAGAACCUGAGGUUAUUGAUGAUGAUGCCCGGUUUGAGUAUUAUUUCCCUUCCUUUUAUUUCUACCUUAUUAAUUGUUAGGAGAGGGGUGCCUUCGGCGGACACAGGUGGUGCAUGGCUGUCGUCAGCUCGU
rnacentral:lncRNA from 1 species